rnacentral:lncRNA from 1 species
UCAGGGCAGCAAAAUAUUAGCUAAGCAUAAUGCUCCUUCUCUUAAUGUAGAAAGAGUACCCCUUUUUGCCUGGACUUCAAGCAGUUUAGCUUUAACCGUGUUAAUAGUCUCACAUUAAUUGGUUUAUAGAGAAUCAAAGUUGAUUUACCAACGAGUCGCGAAAUGCUAUGGUUCUUCCAUAUGAUUUCUGAAUUUAUUCAGAAGUAAUUCGUCGAGAUUGCGCACCCUUAUUUAUCCGAAAAAUACUACGAAAUAUUCUAAAGUGCAGUCGGAUAGAUCCAACCUAUUCUUGAAAUAGACAACUCGCACACACUCCCUUUCCAAAAAAAAUCAAAACACCAACCACUACAGUUAGAUUUAGCAGACCCAGGCACUAUUCAUUCACCAGCUAAAUAAGUAUCGUGUGUUAACCAAAUAAGUAAUAACUAAACAUAGGUACUUCAUGGCUUAGCUUCCUUGUUAAAUUGGCAUGUUACAACAACGUUCUGGUUGAUAAUACUACCAUACUGAAAUCAGCAAGUAGCUUUGUCCGGUAUAGUGGAUUUUCGGCUGUGAACGUGACUAGACUUAUACGUUCAAUUUCAUGAUAAAAUAGUACAUGUAACCAACACAAGUAUUGUUCAACAAUGGUUCUUGAAGAAUUGACCACGAUUUGUACCAUUGAAGAAUCAAUCACGUAAUCAAGAAAAUAUAGUAUGGAACAUGUUUGGUUCUAUAACUCAUCUCAAGCUAAACUUUGUGAAGAUUCAUCUCAAACUAAACUCGGUGAAGGAUUGCAAAUCAAAAGCUUAAACAUGUUUGGUUAUACUCUGAGCCCUCCCACAUGGGGGUGAUGAAGGUGGUACAGUGUUCAACAAAACAAUAAAAUAUGGAAUAAAACUAUCAUAGGCAAUGGUAGAAGGAUCAACAAAACAGCAGUUGAGAAGGACUUCCAUAUAACUUACUGGGCGUAGUGGAAGACCCAUUGGGCUCAAGACACAGUCUGGAGGAGGCAGUGAUCGCACCCGGGGGUGAUGGAAUUUGCAAACUGCGCCAAAUUUACAAUCUCCGGUCUUUAUGUAGUAUAUGCAUUCUGGUUGAUCAGGUCUCUCAGGAAACACAUUCUCUCUCUGCAACGCGUACUGAGGCACAGGAAACGAACUAGGCCUGUAGGGUGAUAGCAUUCCUUGAUUGCCUGAACUGGCUUCGCCUUGUCGAUAAGUUCCGUAGUUUUGCUGAGCCCCUGGUGACUGCAGUCGACUCUCAGAAGAUGAUACAGGUAGCAUUUGGCCCUUGAUAGAAAAGAAAAAUAACAAAUAUCAACCUAAAUAUAGACUCAAAACCAUUGACCUAAGCUGCAUACCCAGAGCUUUCCAAGAUGCAUAUAAAAUAGACUCGUUCUUGACUGAACUUUAGGAAGAAAAAAAACAUUAAGAAAAUCAUCAUUAUCAGAUCGACAGAUUUAUCUAUAAGGAAACAUCAUUAACAUGACAGGAAUUCAAAUGGCAACAUAGUGCAAGUAAGGAGAGGCCAUAAAAACAGGCCCAUUACACAGAAAAUGGAAUUCAAAGGUUAGACUUGCAAAGAUCCAAAUACUUGCAAAAGAUAUCUUAAAGUUGAUGCUGAUGUAUUUACAAUAGUUUUUAUUUUUCCCUGUUGAUCUAGGAAAUGAACAUAGAACCAAGAUUAAAAAAAUCAUGAGUGGGAGAAAUUCGUUUGCUGCAAGACUAUGAAACGAGAUGAUCUUACAGGAUAUGAGUUCCAGCUUGGUACUUGAACAAGACCCUGUUGUACAAUCAUCGGUGCAUAAUUUGAAGGACUUUGCCAUCUAGGGCUUGGAAUAAAAGAACCUCUCGGAUAAGUCCAGUUUGAUAUAGUUCCAGCAUAAGAAUGUGGACCAGCGCUUGCAGAGGUAUGAAGAGAAGGAUAAAUAGGGGAACCACGCGAAGAAGCCACCGCAUUGAAAAGUUCUGGAUGGUUAAAUUUACAUGUAUUCCCAUAUUUACACUGUCCCGUUUUUAAGUAAUAUGCACACUCCUUUUCAUUCUACAACAGUAAAAUAUAUUUCAGUCCAGUAAAUCAAACUGUAAAGGAAAUAAAAGCAUGAUAUACUGCUCACAGUCGACUACGAACCAGUCGGAGGGGGUAUCCUAAUGUGUUUAGCUGCACCAUCCCUGCGAUUCCAGCCUUUUCUCUGGGAUGAUGGAAUUUGCAAGUAGGCCCAAAUUUGCAUGUCCCGGUCUUCAGAUAGUACUGAAUUAUAAUGUUGAGAAAUUCUUUCAGUUCAACAUGUCCAACAUGACAUAAAGUUACAUUAUACCGCUGCUAGAUUGCAACAUAUACUCUAGACAAAAUGAGAAGAAAACUAAUAAUAACAUGUACUUCUACGAAAAAAGAGCAACCUGAAAGUGGGUGAUUAUCAUUCUGACAAAAACUUAAGCUAACCAACCAUCUUGGUGUCAAAUGAUAACCAGUUCUUACAAAGAAACACAGAAGCAAAAAGAAAGAGAAUUACUAAGUCCGCAAAGGAACCUCUUUUUCUUAACCUAUACGGCACACCGCACUAACAGAAUUUAAGACCCCCUCUUCUCCAGAUGUUCUCUAAGCAUAUGUUAAGCCUCCAAAGCAUCAUAUUAGCAGAAAACAUGUUAAUUAUUAUGGAGUACAAGUUUAAAUAUUGCUAAAGAUUCUGAAAGAAAGAAGAUUUUGUUGAGAUCAUGAUUACCUGACAUUCUGGUUGUCCCACCCUCUCAGGAUAUUCUCCUUUCAUUCUGGCAGAGGCAAUAGCCUAACAAUAAACAGAUCAACUGAGAACAAAAUAAAAGAUAAAGUAACAACAACCAAUAUGUCAAGAAAUAACUUCAGAAAAAUAAGAAAUAGUUUUGCAGAAGGUUCUGUGGUCAGUGCUGUAACGACUCACAAGAUAACAGGAACGAUAUGCAGUCCACCAGUGGGAAUUAUGAAUUAUGAAUUAUGCAAAAGAAAGACAAACAUGCUGGUGAAAAUUAUAGGACAGGAAGGAUGCAUCUAUCUAGUGUGGCACUUGAGUAACAAAUAGCAGCUAGCCAAUGCAAACAGAGAAGAAUAGAAGCAUGGCAUUCCUGGAGAAAAGAGCCACAUUUGACAGUCACCGAGCUAAAAAAAACUUUUAUCAGCAAACUGAUUAUAGGAUCUUUAGAUGCCUCUAAAUGAGAGAGUAAUCAAAUCUCUAAAGGCGGUCAUGUAAACAAAUCAAGAUAUGGGGCAUUUUAUACAUUAAUUCUCGCAUUUAUUUCGAUGGUUCAAUGAGAACAAACCAACACAAUAUGUUUCUGUUCCAAUUGCACAUUCAGUUUAAUAAUGCUGCUUUAUGUACAUGAGAAGAAUAUAUAAGAAAAUAUGCAAAUUGUAACCCUGAUGUGCCUGCUUCCUGAAUGACAGCCCUGUCAAGCAGCAUGAGUGUGAUACAGAGCAAUAUGGUAACAUAACAGCAGCUGAGAGAAGAAGGUAUUCACCAAAUUCCUAUCCGGGGGAUGAUUGAACCUGCAGCUUAUGCCGAACCUACACAGUCCAGUCCUGAGGUAGUAGGUGCAGUCCGGCUCGCCCGGGCGCUCAGGAUACGGCCCAGGUUGCAUAGGAGCACCGCUGCUCAUGGUCAUCUCCUGCCACAUCCCCUCUGCAACCAACAUUUGCGCACACAGUAAGAACAUUGCCGAAAACCCCUACAACUAACAAAAAUCGAGAUCAACAAUUGCGCAACAGUAAAAUUUUACUGCCAACUGGUUUGAGCCAUACAACCAUCCACAUUCUACAAGUAACCGCAAAUAAAAUAUGGAAAUCAGCAACACGCAGUUUAGCACAACCCAGCGCCCGCAAAAACCCCAAUUCCACGCCCACACGAAGAGUGCCGCACUAUCCGAUUCCACCGAAUCUGUCGUGAUUAAUACUCCAUGACCCAUAGUUGAAUACUAUUAGAGAAUCCACUAAUCCUCCGUGAAACGGCAGAAAAAAAGUGAGCAAAACCAAGCAUCGGAGCUUAACCUACGGAGCAGAAUUAAGCGUGAAUUCCCCUAAACGCGGCUCGAGCGCUCAUGCGAGAAAGGGGAAGAGCAGGCGGAACCCUAACCGUCAUAGAGAGCGUCCGGGUCCGGCGAGGGUGCGUCGGUGUCGGCGGCGGCGUUGGCGGUGGCGGGAGCUGGGGGAGGAGGAGGCGAGGGGUCACUAGCGUUGGCGGCGGAGGAUGAGGCCGUCACCGUCACAGCCGCGGCGGGAGCGGGGGCCCUUCCGGCUUCGUCCAUCGGCGGCGAGCGGCAGCGCCGUCCAUCACGCGAUCGCGCGGGCGGCGGCUGCCAUUCGGAGCUCCGGCGAGGGCGCGGGGAGGUAGAGGGGGGGCGAGUGAUCGGUGCGCUGUGGAACAGAGAGAGGAGAGGGGGCGCCCUGGCUCUGCCUCCUGCCCCCCGCCCCUUGUAUUUAUUUCUCUCCCCUCUUCUCUUUCCGGUGCGCGGCUUUGCUACGUGCACCCGCGCGUACCACGCGCUCUGCUUAAGCAGGGGAUCAAAAUAUUUUCGGGGUUUUGCGCCUGGAAAAUAGCGUCCGGUCUUUUAAGUUUUAACAACUCGGGGGGUCAUGGCAAGGCCAUGGGAGCAGCGGUGUGUUUUUGCAUUGCAAGCAUACUUGAGUGGUAGUAUGGAGUUAGAAGAUGAUUGGCAGAUGCAAUGUGUUUUUGCUUGGCACUGGCAGGCAUACUUGGGUGAUAUCGAGUUAAGGAUGAUUGGGUUGCUUCAUUGCAGCCUUCACAAAAUCGAUGAUGGGUUUUCGAAAAAGUUUUUUUUCUAUAAAAAAAUUGUUAUGGCAAUGAUGUCAUGUGAUAUUUUAAGCAAAAAACAAUUCUUGAAUUAUUAUUGAGUUGGAGAAACAGAGCGAAUGUCAUACUUCUCUUGGUGAAGGAGACUAUCUUGUUACGACUAAAAUAGGUUUCCCUUUCUCUGUAAAUAUUGCAUGCAUUAUAUUUUCCCAUGUGUUUUAAAUUAUUCGACUUUAGUCAUCAUAUGAAGCUAUAUUUAUGAGCAUUAAUUGUCAAAGGUGGGGUUGAAAGUAAAAUGAUGUGCAUUGUUCAUGGUUGUCUGUAAACAAUGCAAAGUGUGAAAGAGAAGUUGGCCCUCUUUAUUAUUAACCCGAUUGAAAGUUAUCUUUAGUCGCAUUAUUGCACUAUGAGUAGAUAGUGUGGAUGCACUGUUAAAAACGCCGUAUUAAUUGCUAAAAAUAGAAGGCAUAAUGUUGGAACAAACAUGUAUAUUGAUCACUAAUUCACGAUCGUUUUUCUUCCAGCUUUAAGUAUGCUAUGUAUCUUUUCUUCGUCGAUUGCACCAUUGAACCAUGGGAUAGCGACUCACUAAGAUGGGUUUACCUCAUUUCUCAAUUCUCAUGGUCUAGUGAUUGAAGGAUUCGAGAAAGUGGUGGUUGACAUAAGGUAGGGAUGGACUGAUGUGCUACAUUAUUGAUCGGCGAAACAAGGAGCCGAGAAUGCUAUGUCAAGUGGGAAAUACCUGAGUGCUAAUUACUGAAAGGGACAGUGGUCAGGGGACAUGUAGCAAGAAGAGGAAGACGGGAAAAAAAAACUGUCACGGUGCACGAUUUUGUUUAUAAAACAUAAGCACUUAAAAAGAGCAUAAGCUAACAAUCAGGUUUUUGGCAGUGCUAAUAGCAUAGACGAAUUUUUAAGCUAUCCUUAGUUUUCAUACAAGUCAUCUACCUUCGCUUUACAAUAUAUUUUUCUUGACCGCAAACUGUCUUUACUCAUGGUUACGUAGUUUUAAGCUAUCCUUAGUUUUCAUACAAGACAUCACCCUCGGUUAUCUAAAGAGGCAAUAAUAAAAACAGUACUCAUGAAAGGAUGGCAUAUUUGCUCUCGGUAAAAAAAAAACAUAUACAAGAGCAUCCAUGAUUAUGUCCCUGUUAAUUUAUUUUCUAUUUUUUCCGGGGCUGUUAAUUUAAUUUCCCUCAAGCCAAACCAGCACUGCACCAAGGGGUGGUGCACCUAACAAUUCCCGCUUGUACUGUGCGUGCCAGUGUACCUGGGAGCUGCUCGCAGCUGCUUUGCUGGGCGUCCGCUCCUGUUUUUUUUUCUUCUCCUUUUUUCUCUAUAACGCUCGCCUUUUACGCAUUCCAGGAAGGCCUUUUUGUUCGGGUGUGAAUUGUGAGGAGAGGAGCGAGACAGUGGGAGUGGAGUGACCUCAUCCAGUCGUUCCGGCUACCCUUUUUUCUUUUCUUUUCCACCCCAUUAAUCUUCCUUUUUUGUUUUUUCCUCUCUCUUUUCUAUAUUAUACUUUCCCGAGCCCCUCCCUCCGACGCGUCACGCUCGCAUCCCUUUUGUUAUCUCGUUGCCCCCGUUUGAUGCGCAUCCUUCUUUCGUUUCUGAGAUUUCUCGUGCCCACCGUCACCGACCACUUGUUUUUUUCUUCUGUCCCUUCACUUUCAUUCGACGUAAAAUUGUAAAAAACGUAAGUACGGUUCGGCAACUUUGGGCUCUUCGUUCCCUUUCUUCCCCGGCGGCUGGACUGUCGAAGAGAGGGCGGGCGGCGGCGCCCGGAGAUCCAGAUGAUGCAUCGGCGGUGCCUUGCGUGCGUGGUGGGAUGCCAAGGAUCGAUGGGCCUAGAUAGUUGUUGAUGGGAUGCCAUGCCAUGCCAAUUGGGAAUUUCUGUAGUGGGGCGCGCGUAUCUCGUCGAUCGGCAUGUGUGGUUUGUUUGUGUUGUAUUAUCCCAUCCCGUUACGUGUAUAUAUCUCUGUUCGUGGCCAUACGUGUUCGCAAAGUACCUGCGUUCGUCGUUACAUGUAAUUCAGAUUGCACCCACGCUCAAGUCAUAGCUAGAACAAUCACCAUCGUAAAAUUUGACUAGUCAUGCAUCGAUAACCAAGGACGACGAUUGUCUUUGCGUUUUGUGUUUGUAAUCAGUAAGGUUCAGUUGACAGGCAAAGAAGGUGGAGUAUAUGUGAAAUAAAUACACUUUUCUCGAUAUGAGAAAGGUGUUCGUUAUCAUUAGCGUCGUUGGCAGAUAUUGGCUUUGACUUUUGCAAAAAUAUACUCCUGGCUGGCAGGACCAGGCAUCUUUGGUAGAGCCAGCACACAAAUAUAAAGAGAAACUCCAGGGAGAUUCGGCCCAUUGUAAUGCGUUCUGGCCCACUACAUACAUGCUUCCUCUCAAAAAAAAAAAACUACAUGCAUGUUGGGCUACUCUUCUUGUCUGAGAAUAAGAUGGGCUCGUGGAUAUUAAAAGCCUUUUAGGUAAGGCCCAGUUACGCUCAUUUUUCUCCCCCUGAAAUCUAGGGAUGCAUUCAUAACUGGCAUGCUUCCCUAAAAAAAAAUCAUAACUGGCAUGCGUGAUUUGAAUCCUUGUGCAAUUUGUGGUGUCGAAGUUUUUUUUUGCAUCAAUUCAUUUUGAAUUACUCGAGUUGAAGCUAAGCAUCCAAUAUAUAAGAACUUCUAAGAGCUCAAGCUUUUGGGUGAAUUAGACAGUGCGUCAGUUCAAUUUAAAUUUCUCGAGUUGACACCAGCCAUCCAAUAUAUGCAUCUGGGCCUAGACGUGAGAGGGAAUGCUAGUUCAAAUUUUAGGUACAUGUUAAGUGCAUCAAUUCACUUUGAAUUUAUUUUUCUCGGAUCGAGGUGCAGCAGUUUGACCUUGUCGUUGACAACUGAGACGUCCUCAUGCAUCAAUACACCUAUCAAAGCCUCUGAACGAGGAAAAACUACAACUCCCACGGAGGAUCUUACACACCCUCGCCCGAUGGAGCUACCGACGAAGGACGGGUGACCACAAAGGUGGAACCCUAGAUGGCGACAAGAUAUUCCAGGAAUUUCCUUCACACCUUCUAUCAAGUAUCAAUCAUGUUCCUUGGGAUUGCAAUGGAGUAGCGCAUGACCUUACUAGGCAUGCUAGACGUUCUAUAAACUAUUUUUGAGCCUCCUUUGCUUGUAUUAAUUGUACCCAGAGAGCAUAUCGAUCCUUCCCGGAUCUCAAUCUUCAAGAUUUCAAACUUCUGUACUUUUGCUUCUGAUGGAAUAAAGUUGUAUGUCUUCCAAAAAGAUAUAUGGGAAGAAGAGAGGCGGCCAGAGUUUUCGCCACUAGCUCCAGUAUGAUAGCGGCCGGUGAUCCGUGUGGAUGUAAACUGAAGAGCUUCAUGCGUUAGCCAACACAACCAAAAGACCGAUCUGAUGGAAAGAGCUAGUCAAUUCGCUUAUACACUUUGACUUGAAGAGAAGUCAACACAUGGGUGAAGAUAAGUCAACACAUGUAAACUUACAGGUAUAGUGGCUCAAGAGGCCAAUACAUGGACGGAUGGGGUAACAGCAAUUUACAUAAUAGCAAAACUUGAACUCGAAACUUUUGACUCUGAUACCAUGUCAAGCUUCAUGCACUAGCCAACGCAACCAAAAGACCAAUCCGAUGAAAAGAGAUAGUCAAUUUACUUAUACACUUUAACAUAAACUUUGACAAACAAAUAUUCAGCCGCGCGCUAGAACUUGUUGACGUUUGGCAGAAAAGAAAAGGAAGGUGCAAUCAGUUACCAGCGGGCAAUUGCCAUGCGAAAAUCGGCUUGAAAUUCGUUGCCUCGUCGGGUGCCGAAUUUUGGCAAAGCAAUAUCUCGACUACCAGGGAUGCAACUCGAGUCAGGAACGAAAUCACCCGUGCGUUUCAAGCAGCGGCGGUACGAAUUUUUGACGGGGAAUCCUGCUUUCACCGCGAGGCCGCCCGUGAUUCACCGUGGCUAGAAAGCUCUGGCGAAGGCAGAAGCGACACCGCACCAGAUUCGAUUCGGCCACGGCCUAGUCUCUGGCUCUCUGCUUCCUUUCCCGUGAUCCCGGCUGCGAGCCAGAAGGGCGGCCCCCCCACGUCGCUCGUUCGGUCGCAGUGAGCCCAUCAGUUUACCCACUGCAGGCAGCCAGCUCCGUCUGCAUUUCUGCACCAAACCACGAACCCAAAAUUUCCUUUUCUCGUCUUCUUUCCGACCCAUGCAACUGCAAAGCCUGCACCAGCGCAGGUUUUCAAAAUCCCAGCGUGAAAGAGAUUAGUCUCUGGCCAUUGUCCAGUAGACCAGUGCUGAUCGAUCCGGCGAUUCAUCAGCUAUGGUAAUCACUUACCCAGAAGUGAAUCAUUCAGCAGCGUAAUGCUGUGGGUUAACGAAGAUGUUUUGUGUUUUAACACUCAAAAAAAGAUUGUCUAUGUUUGGAGUAGCAGUCCAGAUUUGAAGCGGCCAAGCUCAAGUGUCCAGAUCGGCUUUGCCUGCACAGCGUCUCCAGUUGCCCAUGCAUCGCCCUACGCCUACGGGUGUGUAGCUAAAUACAGCUCAUUAGCUCUGCCUGCUGCUGCAUAAAGGAAGGACGGGGCGUGCACCCAAGCAGGCACGUAAAGUCGAUACUUGAACGCUCCAGAUGUCCAAUGGUAUGUCUCCCUCCGGACGUGUCGUGUGGGGUUCGAUCGCAUUGGUCUGUGGGUUAAAUCCCAGCCGAUCGAUAUUGUGAGUCAUUGUCAAGUCUAGUGUCCGUCAACGUUAAUAAUCACCACCAUCAUGCUUGUUGAGGGAGAGAAGGUACCCAGGUACCCAGCAAUCAUGGCACAAGGUAAAGCACGUGAUCCAUCCAUUGCUGGUCAAAGAAACAAAAGGUUUCUGGCUAGCUAGUCCCGUUCAAAAAAAGUGCUUACAAAAAGUGGGCGCAUUUUUCUUCUCCUUUUUUGCCCGUAUGAUUUGCGGCCGUCAUGUUUGCCAUCAUGAGAUGCGAAAGGUCAGGAGAUCAACCACUGACUGCGUGCUAGUACUGUAAAACGUACUGAGUUGUGGACCAAUCGGUUCGUGAUGGUACUUGGAGUUGGGCUGGACCACGACCCAUCCCAUAAAACCCGGCCUAUCCCUACUCCUCGACGACGAGAUCACGAGACCGACCGACCAGAAGUCCGGAGUCCGACUUGACCCGACCUGGUGUGCGCUGGCACACGAGCCCGCCCGUCCGUUGGAACGACGGAAGAACCAAAAACCGUUGGACCCUUUUUCUGUGUGGCGAUCGGUCUCGCGCGGGCACGUCGUUGUUACACUGCAGGGAUCAAGAUUCAAGGGGCCGUUCUGGAGAGGUUUCAAUGGGUGUGGCAGCCAGCCUCGUCUGCAUCGGCUACUUCUUUCGUUUCCCUUCUCGUGAGCCUCUCAGUUUGCUCGUGUUCCAGUUGACUUGGGGCUUGUGUACCUGUAUGGCAACCACCGUUGUCAGACGACGAGGAUGGGAAGUUGGCCAUGCCUGCCUUUCACGAUCGUACACGGAGUAUAUAAAAAGCAAACAAACUUCUGGCAUAAAAACACGGAAUGAAUUAGUUUACGCAAACAACGCGUGCCAAACUGCCAACCCAACCCCACUGGCAGUGGCAGUAAGUGCGCUGCUUAAUUAAGCAUCCCAGUGCAAGGUUAACACUUUGAUGUACGACAUUGUGCUACGUGGAAAUGGCAAUGCGAGACGACGACAGGAAGACCGACGUACGCCGCCCUUAAAACCCGGCGUUCUUUCUUGCGAAAGGGGAAUCAAUUAAUCAGGACGAAAACGCAGCAGGCAACUCUCAUCAUAAUCGUAACCGAACCGAGGCCGCCGGAGUCAGCACUCAGCAGAGGGCAGAAGCCAACAAGAGAGCAGAGCGAAGCAAAGGCCAAAAGGCCCAGGCGAGACGAGGCGAGAGAACAGAGAGGCACGCCACCUUUUUUCUCUCUCUCUCCCCAAAACCGCCUCCUCUCCUCGGCUCCUUCCUUCCUUCCUCUCCCAACUCCAAGGCUAGGCUCCAACCCAACCCACACGCAGCACGCAAGCUCUCCUCCUACUCGCCGCUCGCUCUCUCCACGCCUCCCUCGUGCCUGCCCGCCCUCCUCCUCCGAUCCUCCACCCAGCCCCCGGGCAGACCCCCGAUCGCACGCCGCCGCCGUCGCCGCGCCAUUGCGGGAGAGGCCCAGGUGCGUAAGGCGAACGAGUCGAUCGACCUCGCCUCUGUUCUCCGCUUUCGCCCGCUCCUUACGCGUUGGCUCCCCCGCUGUCCUUGCAGGAGCACGGCGCAGCCCCGUCGCCGUUCGUCCGAGAGGUUCCGGUUCAGCACCGGGUGGAACGGCGGGCGCUCGCUCGCUCGCUCGCGCUGACGGGCGCGCGGGCCGGGGAGCAGGCCGCGGUUGCCCUACGCGGGUCAGGUAAUUCCAUCGCCGCACUUGCAAGCUCUCUAAGUAUUUUGACUGCAACGAGGGAGCGUUAGCUGCAUUUCGAUUUGCUCCUCGUACGUGUGUAUGUCCGCGGCGGGGUUUAGCAGGAAUCUCUUCCAAACCUGAGGUUUCAGUUUCUGUGAUGGGACCGAGUCUUUGGUGGUGAUGAUGGAUUCCUAGUUACUCCAUAUGAAAGUCUCCGUUUUCCCUUCCAUUUUGGAUGUCUUACAAGGAGAAAUUGUUUGUUCGUCUUGUUCUCACUUGACCUGUCCUGGUUUUUGCUUUCUCAAAAUUCGCCCUCGGCCCUCACUCUUCCCAUGUUCAAUUCUGUUCGUGUUGCCCUUCCUGAAUUGGUUUUUCCUGUCCCAAAAUUCUCCAUCGCUCAAUCUCCUCGUGUAAUAUCCUGCAAUGUCGCCCUUUUCUCUUGGAUAAGUGUUUCAUUUCUGCUCCUUCUAAUUCCGGCCCCGGUUUCGCCGUCCUGGGUUCAAUUCGAUUCAACCCCCUCGUGCUGUCUCGGGCUACGUGCUACACUCCACUACUGUAGCAAGCGCCUCAUUUGCUGCAGCGGUGGACUUAAAUUUAGCUGUACUUGUGUGCGCACCGUUAAAUGCAGUCCUGGCAGUACUACUACUGCUCCUACAUUUAAUAUACUGGUAAUCGUCCUUGGUUGGUUUAGUCUCCACAGGGUCACAUAAACAAAUCACUUCCCAAAUGAUGGCCCAAACCCCAAGGAGGAACAGGAACAUCCCCAGUUUCUCCCGCUAUGGUCACUGGAGCAAAACAUACUCUAGUUCGUCGUAUUAGCAUUCGCACGAGGACCAAAUCGCGCAGUUAGGUCUCCUGAACCUGAAGUUUUUCCUUGCCAGUAUUGUACCAUGCCAUUAUUAGCCUUCUUGGAUUGGUCCGGUCCAAUCUCUGACCCUGGUUGUGUUGUGUGGGGGUCAAUGAACUGAGAGAUCAGAAAGCGGUGACAGUCUGACGGAGGCUCCAGAGAUUGGGGUGGGGGCAUGAUUUGACGUGCUUGUUUUCAUUUAAUCUGCAGCGGUGUAGGUAGCACUAUUGUUAUGUUCAGCUUGCGUAUGUGGUGCCACUUGCUGUAUCUUGUGGGGAAGGGGAUGUGUGCGGGAGUAGGCUUUCUUGUGCCCUGGGGGUCCGUUGUUGCUUCUCCUUCCUUCCUGGGCAGGAGGUGGCCUCUCCCUGCCUGCAUUUAUGAUGCUGCGUGGUUAGUUUUGUAUCAUCUGAUUUGAUGUAAAGCUGCACCUCUAGCGUCUACUGGUGGCCUCUUUAAUUUUAGAAAACAAUGGGUUGACUUGUGGAUUUUGUGAUGGAUGAAUGCUUCUUCAUGGCCUUCUUGUGUCGGCCCGACUCCGCCUGCUUCUUUGGCUUUAGCGUCUGCUGGGGUUACUGCUUUCUCCUUUGCAUUUCCAUAUUUUUCCUGGGUUUGUUAGGAUAGUGUUCCUUUCGUAGACUAAGAUAACACAUCAGAAUCUGCAUUGGCUUGAAAUUUCCUGGAGGCGACUGCUGGGGUGGAGGAAGAAGGCAGCGCAGCGUGGAGGUGAUCCCUGCCUCCGGUCUGCGGUGGCGCGUGGAGGACCCCGGUGAUGGCCGCAUCGCCCACUUCAGGCAUGUCGGGUGGGCGCGCCUUCAGUCUCCUUGUUUGUCUGAGCAGUGGGCAGUGAGGUCCUACUUUUCACACUCAUCCACGAAAUUGGGCUGCAAUGCAAUUUGGUUCUUUAUCUAGAUUUAUUGGGCUGAAGUAUCCCCUGCCGUAUCCCAACUUUUUUAGAAGUUGAAAAAAUGGAUAAUGUGGGAUGUGGGAUACGAGAUACGGCUGUUUCCCUACAUAUCCAUACAACUGUAUCAACAAGUCUAAUUUUAUCUCCUUUCAUGUAGGCACUUGCUACUUUCAUUUUGAUCAUUUCCAUCCAGCUAUUGGUAUUGAACUUUACAAAGUUCUAUAGUAACACUGGAUUGACUUUUAUACAGGGUACUGAGUAAUGAGUAUACACAGAACUACAGAAGCUUUGGUUCUUGGUCAUCUAUAUUCUUCUUGAAGGCAGAAGAAGGCUCUUACUCAUAAGGUACCGACAUGAAGUUUUCUAUUUUUUUGAAUUUAGUAUCAACAUGAAGUUUUUUUUAUUUUUUUAGUAUAUAGGUAUCGACUAGGACAUAAAGUUACUGCUUCUUUUUGCGUGUAAAAUGCAUCCAGCUAGUGUAUGGCCUUUCAUCCCUGACAACCUCAACUUACUAUGUCUAUAAAUUCUGAAACCAGAGAAUUAGGGAGAUAAGCUCAUAAAACAAGCAGGGAUGAUGGAUAGUGAUUUUACUGUUUCCCCUCCUUGUGUUCUGUUAGAAGCAGUUUGAAUGUCUGCACUAGUGACACCUUGAAUCUGCUGUUGAGCAUAAACAAGCCGUUUCGGCUUCAAGCCUUGGAGAUCUAGCCUGGUUCAAACGAAUGAAACCCUGACUGUAACUCAAACUGUCUUUUCUCAUCAUAGGCUAAGAAAGUUGGAUUUCCCUUUGUAACGCAACGUAUAUGAUACCACAUUUUGGAGUAGUAAAAAUAUAACAAACUUUUGAUUUGCUGUAUGUUAUGUGGUUCUUUUGCAGCUACUGACAUGCUUAAUUAUGUCAUGCAGAUGAAACUUUAUUCAAGUCCAAAGAGCAUAAUUACAAUGGGAUCUCGAAGUUUCUGCCUUCUCAUCCUACUUUUGUUACUCAUCCCCAGCUCUGUGUUGUCUGAAUCAAGUGAUAUAAAUACUUUAUUCACUCUGAGGCACUCAAUUGCUGAAGAAAAAGGCUUCCUCCGCAGCUGGUUUGAUUCAGAAACUCCUCCAUGCAGCUGGUCAGGUAUAACUUGUUUGGGACAUAUUGUUGUGGCCAUAGACUUAUCCUCUGUGCCACUCUAUGUCCCUUUCCCCUCGUGCAUCGGGGCAUUCGAGUCACUUCUUCAGCUCAACUUCAGUGGAUGUGGGUUUACCGGUGAGCUUCCAGAUGCCUUCGGGAAUUUGCAGCAUCUUCGGUUACUUGAUUUGAGCAAUAACCAGCUUACCGGGCCUGUCCCUGGAUCUUUAUAUAAUUUGAAGAUGCUGAAAGAAAUGGUGCUUGACAAUAACCUGUUGUAUGGACAAUUGAGCCCUGCAAUUUCACAGCUGCAGCACCUCACAAAGCUGUCUAUAUCCAUGAAUUCCAUCACUGGUGGGCUUCCAGCAGGGCUGGGCAGCCUGCAGAACCUGGAGUUCCUGGACCUUCACAUGAACACACUGAAUGGGUCGGUACCAGCAGCUUUUCAAAAUCUGUCUCAGCUCUUGCAUCUUGAUUUAAGCCAGAAUAACCUCAGUGGAUUAAUAUUUUCUGGAAUAAGCUCGUUGGUGAACCUGUUGACACUUGAUCUGUCGUCAAACAAGUUUGUGGGGCCAAUACCUCUCGAAAUCGGUCAAUUGGAAAAUCUGCAACUGCUAAUUUUGGGACAAAACGAUUUCUCUGGAAGCAUUCCAGAAGAGAUUCGUAACCUGAAGUGGCUAGAAGUACUUCAACUCCCUGAAUGCAAGUUUGCAGGAACAAUUCCUUGGUCAAUCGGUGGUCUCGUAAGCCUGAAGGAACUUGACAUAUCAGAGAACAACUUCAAUGCUGAACUCCCAACAUCUAUUGGUCAGCUUGGCAAUUUGACGCAGCUGAUUGCAAAGAAUGCAGGGCUGAGGGGGAGCAUACCGAAAGAGCUAAGUAACUGCAAGAAGCUUACUCUCAUAAAUCUGUCACUCAAUGCCUUCACUGGCUCUAUCCCUGAAGAACUUGCAGAACUGGAAGCUGUUAUCACAUUUUCGGUGGAAGGAAACAAACUAUCAGGCCAUAUACCAGAGUGGAUACAGAACUGGGCAAAUGUAAGAUCCAUAUCGCUGGCUCAAAACUUGUUCAGUGGACCUUUGCCAUUGCUGCCAUUGCAGCAUCUGGUUAGUUUCUCUGCAGAAACCAACCUUCUCUCAGGUUCUGUUCCUGCUAAGAUAUGUCAAGGCAACUCGCUGCGUUCAAUCAUACUGCAUGAUAACAAUCUAACUGGUACUAUUGAGGAAACUUUUAAAGGGUGCAAAAACCUCACUGAGCUGAACUUGCUGGGUAACCAUCUUCAUGGUGAGAUACCAGGAUACCUGGCUGAGCUACCUUUAGUUAAUCUGGAGUUGUCCCUGAACAAUUUCACGGGAGUGCUGCCUGACAAACUGUGGGAGUCAUCAACCCUUUUGCAGAUCUCUCUCAGCAAUAAUCAGAUUAUGGGCCAGAUCCCCCAUAGCAUCGGUAGGCUAUCCAGCUUGCAGAGGUUGCAGGUAGACAAUAACUAUUUGGAAGGACCCAUCCCACAAUCUGUCGGCACUCUGCGGAAUCUGACUAUUCUGUCUCUACGUGGCAAUAGGUUAUCUGGGAACAUUCCACUAGAGCUCUUCAACUGCAGGAACCUUGUGACGCUGGACCUGAGUUCAAAUAAUCUGACAGGGCACAUCCCGAGGGCCAUAUCUAACUUGAAGUUGCUCAAUAGCUUGAUUUUGUCUUCUAACCAGCUCUCUGGUGCUAUCCCUGCUGAGAUUUGUAUGGGAUUUGAGAAUGAGGCUCACCCUGACUCGGAGUUUGUCCAGCACAAUGGCCUUCUUGAUCUGUCAUACAACCGGUUGACUGGUCAGAUUCCGAGUGAGAUAAACAAGUGUUCUAUGAUGAUGGUGCUAAACCUGCAAGGAAAUUUGCUGAAUGGCACCAUUCCUGCACAGCUUUGUGAGCUGACAAAUCUUACAACGAUUAAUCUAUCUUCUAAUGGAUUAACUGGAUCGAUGCUUCCAUGGUCUGCACCAUUGGUACAACUGCAAGGCCUUAUUCUGUCCAAUAACCACCUGGAUGGUAUCAUUCCUGAUGAGAUAGGCCGAAUUCUUCCCAAAAUUUCUAUGCUAGAUCUGUCCAGAAAUUUGCUUACUGGAACUCUACCACAGUCUUUGCUCUGCAACAAAUACCUAAAUCAUCUAGAUGUCAGUAACAACAACCUCUCUGGACAAAUUCCAUUCUCCUGCCCCAUGGACGGAGAAUCCUCGAGCUCACUGUUGUUCUUCAAUUCAAGCAGUAACCAUUUCUCAGGAACCCUAGACGAGUCUAUCUCGAACUUCACACAACUGUCUUCUCUUGAUAUCCACAACAAUUGCCUCACUGGAAAUUUACCAUCAGCACUCUCUGGUCUCAGCCUUUUGAACUAUCUUGACCUCUCAAGCAAUGAUUUCUAUGGUACCAUCCCUUGUGGUAUCUGCAGUAUAUUUGGCCUCACAUUUGCGAACUUCUCUGGUAAUCACAUCGGCAUGUACAGCCCAGCAGAUUGUGCUGGAGGAGGCGUUUGUUUUAGUAAUGGCACUGGUCAUAAGGCGGUUCAGCCAUCUCAUCAAGUUGUAAGAUUAGCGACCAUUGGUGUCAUUUCACUUGCUUGCAUCAUUGUUCUAGUUCUUCUGGUGGUUUAUCUUAGAUGGAAGCUAUUGAGAAACAGGUCAUUGGUUUUUCUACCUGCCAACAAGGCCAAGGCUACCGUUGAGCCAACCUCAAGUGAUGAGCUCUUGGGGAAAAAGUCCCGGGAACCUCUGAGUAUCAAUCUCGCAACAUUUCAGCAUUCACUGCUGAGGGUCACCACCGAUGAUAUACUGAAAGCCACAAAGAAUUUCAGUAAGGAGCACAUCAUAGGCGAUGGUGGCUUUGGGACUGUUUAUAGGGCAGCACUCCCUGAAGGCCGGAGAGUAGCGAUCAAGAGGCUUCAUGGUGGCCAUCAGUUCCAAGGUGACCGUGAAUUCCUGGCUGAGAUGGAAACCAUUGGGAAGGUGAAGCAUCCAAACCUUGUUCCCCUGCUUGGCUACUGUGUUUGUGGGGAUGAACGGUUCCUGAUCUACGAGUACAUGGAGAAUGGGAGCCUUGAGAUAUGGCUGAGGAACCGAGCAGAUACAUUUGAAGCACUUGGAUGGCCAGACCGUCUCAAGAUCUGCCUCGGUUCUGCCCGUGGGCUUGCUUUCCUCCAUGAAGGAUUUGUGCCCCACAUCAUCCACCGGGACAUGAAGUCAAGUAACAUUUUGUUGGAUGAAAAUUUCGAGCCGAGGGUCUCUGACUUUGGCCUCGCAAGGAUAAUCAGCGCGUGCGAGACUCAUGUCAGCACGGACAUUGCUGGUACGUUUGGAUACAUUCCCCCAGAGUAUGGCCUGACAAUGAAGUCCAGCACAAAAGGCGAUGUGUACAGCUUCGGUGUUGUCAUGCUGGAGCUGCUCACGGGACGGCCACCUACUGGGCAAGAAGAUAUGGAAGGUGGUGGAAACCUUGUCGGCUGGGUGCGGUGGAUGAUCGCACACAGCAAGGGGAACGAGCUGUUUGAUCCUUGCCUGCCAGUCUCAGGCGUGUGGCUGGAGCAGAUGGUGCGUGUGCUCAGCAUUGCCCUGGACUGCACUGCCGAGGAGCCGUGGAAGAGACCGAGCAUGCUGGAGGUUGUGAAGGGCCUCAAGAUAACCCAGACAAUGGAUUGCGGACCUCUGGUGGUGACAGUGUCCAGGGGCACCUAGUGCUCGCCUCGGAGCACUGUUCUUGAAAAUGUUUCGAUGCAAUAAUGGAGGCUAAUUGUAGGUAAUUUGUAGCUGUAGAGUAAGCUAGGUUUCGAAAUGGUAGCUGUAGAGUAAGCACCCUGGAGAUUGUGGCAGUGAGCGAACCAUGUUAAGGCUGUAGCUGGAACACAUGUUAUUGUAGCCUUUCUCUUUUUAGUCUUGAUCCAUGUAUUGUCUUUGACUCUUUGUCAGGUAGUUAUUGUAGCAUUUGCAUUUCUAAAAAAACGCAGUUAUUGUGGCAGCAUGAGUAUUUUGCAAGCUCAGAAGAUGCUUUUGCUGAAAGGUUACCUUUUCUUUCUGUAUUUAGAGUAUUUCAUAAUCUCUUACCAGAUUCAGCUCUACUGAAAUCUGGUCCCCCGUCGUUCUCUGGUUUACCUGCUGCUUUGAUUGAACAUUGGUAUUUACUUCUUAUGUGGCAGAGUACUUCAUAUUACUGUGUCAUUGUUUUUGCCAGAUUUUGCCUUCAUACCCAUAUGUUAAUUUCCUAAACGUUGCCCUUAAUUCCUGAUUUUGUAUAGGCAUUUGCUGUUCUCAUUUCAUACUGUAACAUUUAUCAUCGUAUCUGUACGGACUCCUUUCUGGUUUGCUGCUGACUUUGUAUCUGCUGAUAAUAUGCAGGCAAUGAGCUUUCAAGAAUCAAUUGACAUGUCUGCAUUUACAGGCGACAGAUUGGCCAGUGGUAGAGUGGCUUUACCUUGUAAGGCUAAAUAAUUGUUGCGCAGGAAAUGUAGCAUUCACGGCUAAGCUAGUUUGCUCUCGUCAGGGUUUAGAAUUGUUGUUCUCUUCCAAUUUUUACCCUCAUUUAUGGUUACUCAGGUAGAUGCUCGUCAGCUGUAAGCCUGUAACUCAUGCGUGCGUAAGGAGCAAUGGUGAUGCUUCCUCUGUUUACCCGUUCACUGCUACAGUACCUUUCUUCUCUUUUUGCCGGAGGUUGUACAAGAGUAUAUCAGUUUUUUUGGUUAGGCAUCUACAAAAUUGGGACGGUGGUGCCAAACUGGAUAUCAUACAAGCGUCGUUCUGCUCUGCACUAGUCCUGCAUAGUAUUUUCUGAAAAUAAGCAUGCAGUUGCAGGAAGAGCAAGGAACAGUGUGUGCUAGGUGUUCCAUGCUCUGUUCAAACUUCAGGGAACAUGUCAUACAAGUCAAACAGAAUUAAGAGAAGCCUAGAAUCCACCACUACCGAACCCAACAUUAAUCUCGCAAGAUGAAAUCGAAUGUCAACAAGAAAAAAUCAGAAAUAAACGUGAAACUUAGACUUACUUAGUCGUAGUACCAUCCUGGUCCUUCCUGCGUCCUGAGGACGGCCCACAAAUUUCCACUCAUCUUUAUUUGUCCAAGGAUCAGACAAGCAUCGACGAACUUCUGGAUGAACUACAUGACGCAUGCACGAAAUCAUGAUAAUAUGGAGCCAAGCAUCUGGUCAUCCAGUGAAGAGAGGAUGACAUCGUUCGACAAUGGGAGGGUAUGGCGUCAGACAGAAAAUGGGUAGUAGCAAACAGACGCCCGUGCCGAAAACAAAAUAGCUUGAACAGGAACCGAUGCAACGGCUCCAGCAAGAGACAAAGAGCGGAGCUUGCAUGCAUGUAGCUGCGCGUGUCUCAGUCGAUCGAUCGCAGGUCGAGAAACUAGCUAGCGUCUCAGAUUUACCGGCCCAAGCCCAACCCGGUGACGACUGUUCUGAAUUCCAGAGUCAAGUUUACCGGGAAACACACAGUUUAGUAGGCGUGAAGGGCGAAUUCGUGAAGGGCGACACCGCGCAUCGCAAGCUCGACAGCUCGUCUGAUUACUAGUACUAGUACUCGCCUUUCACGGCCCCGCUAAGCUUAGCUUAAUUAGCUUCUACUAAGUGCUAACCAAGCAAUCUCCUGCGAAAUUUAAUCGGAUUAACACACACACGUCCGGGGCAAGUACAGUCAUAAACCGUACCUGCACCCGACGUGAUUAGCUAAUACUACAACCAGGACUACUAUUUGCCCAAGGACCCACCGGGCGGUGACUGUUUACCGAUGCGAAGGCCGGCACCAGUGUUAACUGGUGGGGUGGGGUCACGUAUAUAGGCUGCUUGCGGGCCCCGCUCGAGUCCGGUCAGGGAGGCUGCCGCUGCAGGGACUGGAGAAAGGACGAGAAAAGGGUUUGGUUGGUUAAUUAGUCGGGCCGUCCAAAUCACGUGAACCCGAAGACGGCCGGAGAAAAGGAAAGGACACACGCACCGCGCGCCCGGCCGGCGGCCACGGCGUGCCAUCCUUAAACUCGCCCCGGUCACUCGCUCGACAGCGUGACAAGGAGUAAUUUCAAUUUCAAGCACUCUCUCUUUGUAGUAUAUCAUCUCUCCGUCCAGUCCAACUCACGGAACGUGCAUGCUUAAUUUGAGGAACCACCGGUACGGCUAACAAGAGCUUAAUUUGAGGAGCCACCUUUUGCUUUUUUUAUAAGUAUACUUUAGACUGGUUUUCUUUCUUACUGAUAAAAAUCGUGGACUCCUGAUUCUUACUCGAUCCACUACUCUCCCAAACGUGGACCUGCUAUUUCUAAGUCGUUGUAGUGUAGGAAUUGAAUUGGUUGACGUUCUCUGAGCUGCAAAGCCGACUUUAGAAGGACUCGAAAGGUAUGCGUGCAUUUCUACAGUUGACGUUGUUUUCUGUCCAUGUAACUGCUCCGUGUUUGACAUUGAGAUAGAUUUAUAUAUCUUCGCGGGUUAUCCAAUCCGUCCAAAUUUCAACGCAACACGCAGCUUCAGCAGCUGAGCAUUUGAUAGUGACAGUACAACAAAUAACACGGAGAAACAAGAUUGAAAUCGUUGACCGAGAAACGGAAACCAGAAUUUCCUCGUCGUGUACGUUCUGGUUACUUUUCUCUUGUAAACCCCCACGCCACAUAUUAAUCUCUGGCAUGCCUAUCUUUUUUAGGCUGCUGCUUCCUCCGUCCCAUAAUAUGAGACAUGCACGCAUACCUAAAUUCUCAAUUUAAUUAAUUAAAUAUGUAUGGUCUAACAAAAAAUACAUCAUUAGUUUCGUUAUCGAAAAAACUUUCUAAUAAUAUAAUUUUUAAAUUAUUUAAUUUAUAUUUAGUUAGCUAAAUUAACGAUCUAGAGGUACGUGACUGCCUCGUAUUAUGGGACGGAGGGCUAGGAGAGUGGGAGUGGGUAGGGGGAGCAGUUGAGAAAAAGAUUUGCCCACGUCGUUACAAGCAAGAAUAAUAGAGCGUUCUCAGUCGGCUACGAGGUUUCCAUGUCAUCAGAAAUCAUGCGUGAAAGAAAAAAGAAGGGAGGAAAGAGAAGUAAUCAUGCGUGGAAGAGAAAAAAAGGGAGGAAAGAGAAGGAGCUAGCGCUUCAAUAAUCGCUCGCUGUAGCACAGGUUCCAAAGAAAGAAGAGCCGGCAUGCAGCCUGCUGCUAGCUCUAGGUGGGUGGUUAUUUUUUUCCUCUUAAUAUUUUAUUGCUUGUUUCUUUUUUCAUUGAUCAAAGAACAUGCGUACAUUAAAUGUUUAAAUACUCAUAGAGCCAACUUAACAGCCAGAUGGUUUUACGUGAAAUGGCGUUGGCUUACAGGUAACAGCUAGCUCAUCUGCUCAUCUAUUAUUCAUGCUCUACGUCAGUGGUCGUACGACCAAUAACCUCGCGGACGGAGUCGUGGGGCUCGCUAGUUUGCCUGUCCGGGAAAAAAAAAAGAAAUAGGUCACGUCGGCAGAGGAUUUUCCAUUGCCCCGUGACGGAUCGGAUCGUGCCAGCUGCACCACUCGAGCACAGAGUCCACCGUACCGUACCGCGUAUCGCUGCUAGCAGCCGAAACAGACAGGCAGAUACUGAGAUACAGUACAUACUAGGACAGGCUGAGCCAGAGCCAUGGACGACCCAUCGUGUGGGACCAAUUCGACGAGAGUUAUCAAGACGCCUUGCCGGUCUGCCGGUCACGGCGACCCAUGGCGCGCCGCGCGCGGCGGGUUCACGUGCGCGCGCGCGCGCCCCGGCGCGGCCACCGAGAUCAGACAGCCGCCGAGGAAGGGUGACGACGAGAGGUGACAGCCAAGUGAAAAGAGUAAAUUAAAGAAAAGGAACGGUAGUAGUAUCAUCUGUAAACGAGCAAGAAGAAGCGAACAAAAAUCCCCGGUAAAAUGGCUACGUACACGAGACCAAGGACGGCACGCGGGUCGGACCAAACUGACCCAGCACCGGCUCCAGCUCUUUCUGACGGGAGAAGGAUUAAUCAAAGCGAGCCGUGAGCAAGAGACAAGGGCCCGUGACGAUAACGACCCCCACCGCCCAAGCUUAGCUUAGCAGCUUAAUCAUCCCCCGUCCGUCCUGACACGCGCGCGCCCUGGCUUUAGCUGUGCCGAUGUCGACCGGCACCGCUGCUUGUGCCGGCCGUGGCGCUGGUGGCGGCGGCGGCAGAGGCCUGAGCCGCCAUGGCCACCUCGAACUGCCGCACGGACACCGGCUCCGGCGGUGGAGUGACCGUGGCGGCGGAGGAGGAAGAUGUCGAAGCGGCGGCGGCGGCGGAGGAGGACGGAGGAGGAGGAGGGGCGCGGUUCCAGGAGCGGACGCUGGUGGUGGUGCUGGUGCUGCCGUCCCAGCCGAUGUGCGCCACGUGCUUCACGUCCGUCGGCAGCCCGAUCACCAUCUCUUGUUCGUCCUCAUCUUCUUCCUCGUCGUCCUCGUCGUAGACGGCGAAGAUCUGGGACAGGUUCUUGAAGCCCCUCAGCAGCCUCGCCACCAGCGACAGCGGCUGCUCCCCCUGCUGCUUGCCCGCCGCCUUCCCCGCCGCGCCGCCUGACGACACCCCCUCGCCGCCUACAUAUAUAGUUAGUUAGCCGUCAGUCAGCGCCAAAAGAACUCAAGACCGGCCAAAUCGCCGUCAGACAUACAAGAAGAAGAAGGAGAAUACAGAUGAUAUGUAGUGCUGCUCACCUUGGGCUUGUUGGGGUUGCUUGUUUGCGUGGCGCGAGGCUUGUUGUUGGGCGACGACGACGUCGACGCUGGAGGCGGAGCGGCAGUUGGAGGAGAAGGGGAUGACGAUGAACCGGUCCACCAUCCGCCCUCGCUGCUGCUCCUUGCCACUCAUGGCAGCCACCCAAAUCAACCAACCAACCAACAAAAACCAAUCAAUCCUCAGCCGGCCAGAGGAGUUGGUUAUUCCUCUGUUCGAAUCUGUUGAACCAAAUCAAGCCUUAACUCGAGCAGGGCCAGAGGAAGGCAGUCAGUGGUAGCAGCACUGUCCAAGUCUGGUAUAGCGGCCGCGAGGGAGGGAGGGAUGGAGAUUGGAGAGGGAGCUAGCUAGUAUACGAGCUGGAGUAAGUUCGCAGGCGGGCGGCGACCGGCACUGCAGCUGGUGGCUAUACUAUACUUGUACUAGCAGCCGGUAGCUAUCCUAGCUAGCUGUGGAGUAGGAGUCUAGCUACUCCUAUAUUGAUACUCCGGUGCAGUGGGGAUAGGCCGGAGACGGGGAAAAGAGGAGCUGGGAGUGGGUUGGGUUUGGUAAUUUGGUACCCACCCCCACCCAGUACUACUACUACUAUAGUUUCUGUAUACUCGUACGUGACAGCGUGGGAUAUUCCUGCCUGCUGGCUUGCGAUAUCUGCUGCAUCCAUAUACGGAUGGGGUUUGGUUUUCCCCUGCCUGGAUGCCCAACUGCUUCCCUCCUCUCUGCCAGUGACUCGUCGCCCACCAUCCAUCUCUGUCUGCGCCUCGGUACUCUACAGUACUACUACUGGUAUACUACUACGUACCAUGCAUGUAUUGUCCGCCCCCCGUCUCGUGAUCUCGUCUCAUUUCGAGGUUCGUUUUCUUCUUGCGUGCCAGCAAUUGGGGCAUGCAUGGGCGCGGGCCGGGAGAUUGAAUUUGGCGGUUGCCGUGAAUUAAUGAUUUUAUUGGGGCGGGGGCGUUACCGUGAAGAGCUAGCCAUGGACGUGCGCGCGUGGGUGGGCACGUACGUACGUACGUACGUACUCGACGUGUAUUCAUAUCCUGUCACCCGCUCGCGCCCGUAUUCCACCGUAUAUCCAUGUUGUCAAGCUGCACAUAUCUGUAAUAUCUGUAGUAGCGGCUCUUUAUAAUUUUUCCCGGACAGGAGUUCAGGGGACUGAGAAAAAUGGGCGCAUCUCAAGUUUAGUGAUCCUUGCGCAUUGCGUUACGGAAAAAAGGGCAUUGGCCAACGGAAACGGGUACUACAUUGAGCGGCAUUAUGCUUGUUUAAGAAUGUUCAAAUGAAAUCAUUGUUCUCGCUUUUUUUUUUUGAGCAACGCUUUUUUUUAAGCCGAGCAAUAUGAUCUCUCUCUCUCAAAGAGGGCUGCGAAAGCGCAAAUGUUUGGAAGCCCAAAGUUGGGUGGGCUUCGCAAGAUUGAAACAAACACAUCUGGGUAUGGAGUACUCCAAAUUUGUGAGCAUAACAUAUUGUACUAACUAUGCAGAUUCCAAACUCAGAUUUGAAUGGAGAAAGUAUGUAUAAACAUAGUCCUGAUGAGCAAGGGAAGCAAAAAAUCAACGAGAGUGUUUGCUUAAUACUGUGCUGGACUGCCAGUGUUGACUCCACUUGCCUGGUUAGGUUGUGGGCAGUCAACAAUGAAUCCAACCAAACAACGAAUAUCAUCAGAAGCCAUAGUAGAAGAAGAAGCUGCCCCUAUCAACAGUUCAAUAACAACCAAAAGCUCAUUAACAAGAGCAUUCACUUUCUCUAUAGGUCUCUCAGUUCCAGCAAAUGUGAAAGUAUCUACUGAAUCUCCUUCACGAGUUACCCAGUAACACCUUCUGCAUCCAUCAAGAAGCAUUUGCAACGCAUUUGUCUCAUACAUGCAAGCAGACUCUGCAAAAACCAUGUCUGCGAGUGAAGAGAGAAGCUUUUUCUGCAAAACAUAGUUGCAUGAGCUCCACAUCUUCAGGUCCAACAGCAAAGUGCUAAAAAGCUGCACUUUUAGACCAGGAUCAUUUCUUUGCGACUGACACAAAGAUACAAUUGCAGCAACAAGCUCCUCGUCACUCAGUAUCUCUUUCUUCCCACUUUCCAGUCUUGACAGUGUUUCCAAUAAAUAAUGUAAAACUAAUGAUAGAAGCUCUGGUCCAUGUGUACGGCAUAGCUCCUCCUUGUUUCCAGGAUGUUGAAUAGCCAGGGAAAUUAUCCUGAAAAUGGGAACAGAAAGAGAAGCGGUAGCAAGAGACAGUGACAAAUCACCAAGUAUAGGUUCCAGAUUAUCCAUCUCAACAUUGCUCACGGUCAAUGGUAGUAAAGCCAUUGGACCUCCACAAGCUAAUGCCCACAAAGAUUCUGCAGGUCGCACGCGGUAAGAUACAUGAACCAUCCUAACAACUUCUGCAGGUCUUCGCUGAGUACCUAGGAUUCAACAUAAGAUAACAUCAGCAGUUAUCCUUCUGAACCUGCCCAAGCCACCUUCUUUUAGGUAUACACAUUUAUUGUACGAUAUAAGUUUUGCUAGCAAUUAGAACCCUGGUCCGUAGACCGUAGUUAUGGUUAACAGCAUGUCAGGAGUCAGGACAACAAUUGCUUUCAAUCAAUAAAAGGAAUGGUUGAUACGAAAUUGGUUAACAAUAUACUCAUAAUAUUGUGCCCCCUCCGUCUAAAAAUACAAGGCUUACUUUGUUUCGCUAGGAAAAGCUUUUGAUCGACAAUUACUCUUUCAGUUGUGUAAAAAAAAGAAGAAUUACUCUAUCAAUAUAAAAUUUAUGUGACACAAAAUUAAUGUCAUUAGAUCCAUAUUCAAACAUCAGAUACUGAUGGAGUAAUUAUUGGUCAAAAGCUUGUCCUAACAAAAUGAAAAUAAGCCUUUAUAUUUUUGGACGGAGGGUGUAUGACACAAAUUUUUACAGCCACUAGAGACACCCUUGUCCCUGGUAAUGGUUAAUGGCAUGUGAGGAUAACAAUUUCUAUCAGUCAAUACAAGAAAGAUUCAUGCAGAAUUGGGGAAAAAUGAAGACUGCAGUAUGCCAUAAUAGCCUGAAGGGCGUAUAGGAAGUGCAGAAAGAUUCAUGCAGCCUUCAUCGGGAUCAUAACUAGACCAUGGUUCAACUAAGACCAAAAGAGAGUAGAAGCAAGGCCAUUCUGCUUGUGUCAUUGUGUGUUUUUGUGCUUUUCUUGGUUGGCCCUUCGGCCUUUUGUGUUCUAUGUUAGGGUUCUUCUAAAAAUUAACAGGCUUGCUGUUUUGUAAAAUAAAAUUAUGCAAGGCAAGUUGGAUUGACAGUUCAACUGUUAAACAAACCUGUCGAACCAGAAGGUGAAGCAUCCGGACAAAAUCGGCCGUUGAGUAGGCUAGGGUGAUACAGAAGAUGUAAGCUUGCUGCAGUCUCAAUGUCAAGCGCAUAACUAUCUUCAGCUACUUCCCUAAUGUGAUCACUGGUAGCUUUCCAAGGCAAACCAGCGGCAUUGCUGAAGCUGGGAAGUGCAUCUCCUUCCCUAGAAGCAAGUCGAGUCAUUCUCUCUGGCCCAAUCGGCUCCAUGAAAAUAUAUAUAGGCCCCAUUUCCACAAACAGUGCGCAUUGCCGCCGCCGGCGCUGCAGGCCAGAAAUAGUUGGUGGUGGGUUUGUUCCAAUGCAGCAGAAGGCCAGCGGUUUCAAGAUGCGUGGGAACUCAAACGGACAGCUCUCGUGAAGUUUGUCAUCCACAUAGAACCGCAGUUCACUCUCGACCAUUCCAAGCAAACCCUGUUUGCUUGCGUACUCCAAACCAACAAAGUACCAGCACUGUGGUUUGAAUUCAUAGGUGAAAUGGAGAGAAGCCUUUUUCCCCUUUCCAGUCCCACUCUCAACGACUAGAAACUGGCCAUGAAAAUAAGCCUCCACACCAUCGUUAUCAGCAGUGAGGAAACUGAAAAGUCGGGGCAUGUGCUUCGUCCCUUCUCCAGCAAGUGUGCAAGCAGCCGCAGCUGCCGCCCAUGCUGAUGAUUUCCCAGACGUUGAUGCUGCAGCGGCUGCAAUGGCUGCUGUGGCCGUAGCUGUGUUGCGUGAGUCUGAGAAUGACUCUACAUAUAUCCACGUGGCAAACCCAAAUCCAUUCGAGAAUGGCCACCUGCUCUCCCCAGGGGCAAGCAAGCCAGAGCUCUCGCCAUCGAACUCAAACGUCACUGCAGGGCCCUUUGCCUCAUUGCAGCCAACAGAAUUUUCCAAUGCAAGUGUCAGCUGCGUCGCCCAGAGCGUCCCAAGAGCCUUCUUAACCAAAAGGAGCCAGGAAUGCAAGCCCUUGACACUAACCGAGUGUCCGCCCAGCACCUGAAUGCAAUGCACAAGUGGUGUCCCGUCCCACUCCCUGCUCUGACCCAUUCCUACGAACAGCUUCUCUGCGACCUCGAGGAGAAUAGCGAGAAGACCCGAAGCGGAGCACAUGGUGCGGUUGCGAGUGCAGGCGCUGAGGGUGGCGAGGAGACCACGGGCCAUACGAGUGCGCGGCGACGGCUCGGUGCCACAGGGGAGGUAGGGCAACAGCUCGGCCGCGAUGGCGGCCGCGCGCGAGCUGGACAUGAUGCUGGGCGUCGUGCUGCUGCUGGUGCCGUCGCCUGUGCCUUCGUCGAUGCCAUCCACGCCGCCCAUCGUGAUCAUCAGUACGUCCACGAUGAAAUGCGAGACCUCGCCGUUUUCCUCGGAGACCAUCUCGCGGAGGCGGUCGACCCCGCCGCCCAUGAUCACUGCGUCGACCGCCCGCACCACCGCCUCUGGGACUUCGGACGACACGACCGGCGCUAGGCGUCUCCGCAGCGGUGGGGGAGGCUGCGUGGAAGGCUCUGGAGGGACCACCGGCGAAUCCGCGGUCGUCUCGACGUCCGACAUCUCCUCGUCCUCGAUGAUGUACCCCUCGCCGCGGGGCGACUCAUCGUCGAAGUGCUCGACGACACCGUCCUCCCACGGCGAGGUGGGCGAGGCGUCGGACACAUCGCGCGAGUCCUCCUCCAUUACAUCGGCUCACUUCAUGGAAAAAUCCACAAAAAUGUGCGGAAUCGAUUAGCGACCGGAGCAAGGGGGAGAGGAUCAAGCGCAAUGUGGGUGAAAUUGAUGGAAAAAAUUUGGGGAAAAAAUUUGCGAUUGGGGUGUGAGGCCAGGGAGAAACUGGAGUUUUUUGGGAAAAUGCUCGCGAGAGAUUAGCGGUGGUAGCUGGCGCGGUGCAUGGCGUGGCCCGAGAGGCGGAAGGAAGAGAGAGAGGGGGGAAGCGGCCAAGCGGGGAAGGCGAAGAAAUGGCGCCGUGGCAGAUUGCUUGUUACCGGGCCCGGUAUGGCAGAGUACGUGGCGGCUACGAGUUUAGACCUAGAAGCGCCGUGCCCUGUUUUCCCCGUGUGAUCGUGUAUCAACGUAACUUCUGUGGAUAGACGCUGUGGGUCGUCGGACCAAGAAAUAGCUGUCGUUGGAUCAAAUCGUCUGACCAGUUGUGCCUACCUCCAUGGCUCUGUACAUUAAGGGCGUGUUUGGAUGGGCUCACGGCCGCAGCCUGCAGCGCAGCAGCUGGGAUGCAAUCCCGUCGCCGCAGACGGGUGUUUGGUUGGGCUUGCAUCCGGAGGAGGAACGGCGGAGAAGAAACGGAAGCCGCGGGAGAUGAAAGAGAGCGACAGAGGAGGAAAGGGAGCGGCGGAGAAGAAAUACGAGCAGAGGUGGCGGAACGGCGGCGGCGGCAGAGGAACGACGGCGGGAUAUUGAAAGAAACGGCCGGAGGUGGCGGGAUAUUGGGUGUUUCUCGUGUGCAAGCCUGGAGGCCGUUUUUUUCACCUCGGGUGCAAGGCCCACCUACGAUGCAGGAUACCAAACCGAUGAAUUUUUGCAGCUCGGGUGCGGGCCAACGCUCGUGCAGACAUCCAAACACGCCCUAAAGAAACCAGCAUUCGGUUACAGUUCACACUCAUAUCCUACAGACAUACCGAGUUUUUAGUUAUUUGUUGCCCUAGUUAUUAUUUUGUUUCGACUAAGCAACCAGACAAAAACAUAUACAAUACUUUAGAUGGAAUUUUUAGAAUCCACAUGACAAGUACAUGGACAGGAAUAAGUCCUCUGAGGUUAGAAAUAUUGUGGCAUGGUUUUCAUUUUCAGAUAUUUUAAGUGUCGUGGAUUUAGUACAGUACAACUUUGUACUCCCUCUGAUUCUAAAUUCUUGACUCAAAUUUGUCCAAAUAUGGAUGUAUCUAUUCUUAAAAAACGUCUAGAUACAUGUAAUAUUUCGACAACAACUUAUGAUCGAAGGGAGUAGUAAAUUUCAGACACUUAUUAUGUAUCGGAGGAGUACCACAUUCCAAAACUUGUUUUUACAUUCUACUGCUGCCACUUACCUAAUAUGCCGGGUUCAUGGCAUAAAGCUAUGGACUAACUUACAACCGAACCUCCUUAGUCCUUUGGUUGGCAAUGCUCCCAAGAUGGCAAAUGUAGGGCCAUUUUCCCAAUCAGUAUUUUCUUCCAAAAUAGUCUACUCCCAAGAUGAUCUAAUAUGUUUUCUUCAACACCAACAAAAAUAUGAAAAAAAAAUUCAAAAAAGAGGAUGUACGCAACAAAAACAUGAUCUAACAUGCUAACUAUAACUAUAGGAAUCUUGGAAAAAGCAUCAUGUAAAUUAGGAAUGCAGAGAUAUACACCACACUUUAUACACCAUGCUAAAACUAUGAGCAAAUGGGUAAAAGAGUCUUCUCUAGAACAUCUAGAGAUAUACACCACACUCAUCACAUCACAAACCAGUAAUCACACCAACAACCAUAAGAGGUAUAACAACGGCAAAAUAGAGUUAACAUAGUUUAUGUCUCUUUCAGUAUUAUGUGAACUAUUCUUAAACUUAAGUUUCAAAUUUUGCCCAUCCCAAACAUCAGCAAUUGUGGCAUUACAUUCAUUGCAGAUAAUAUAAAGAGGCCAAAAUUGAACUACAAGAGAAGAGGUACCAAACCAAGUAUCUUCCCAGAACUUGAUUUUGGUACCAUCUCCCACAAUCCACCUAUAGCCAAAUCUGGCAGCCUUGGCAGCCCACAUCACUCCUUUCCAGAAGUAUUAAAUAGAUAUAUGUCUAAACAAUCAGAUAUGCAGCAAUGCCAGGUUGCCACUUACAUUGGACCAUCACAUUAAACAAUCAGAAAAGCUUAAAGGUUAGACUGACGCUAGAAGUUGAAUGCUUGCCAAAAAAUUAAUGACAAACCAUAAGGAAACCAUCCAUACGAAGCUUUUACGAGGUUUCAAGAUUCUUGUUAUAUCAAGACACGUGACAUACAGACAAGAGAGGAACAUGAUCUAAACUAGUCAGCGGCCAAACAAGCUGAGAAAGAAACCUGUAAACACCAGUCAAGAUCCACUACAAACAGCCUAACCAAGCACCCUAUCUGUCGUCACCAUCCCAACAAAACACCAGUCAAGAGCUAGCCACUACCGGAACCAAGCACUGGACUAUCUCAUCACUUCAGCCAGCAAAACGUCAACAGACAAGACAGCUCAAACACUACCUCCUUGAAGUCACUGCAACUAGCAUAAUCACCAAUCCAAUAGGAAUCCAGUCAAGAACCAAGCAUGUAUGUAUCUCAUCACUUCAGCCAAUCAGCUCGAACACUACCUCAUUGACCAAUGUCCCCCAAGAAGAGAAUUCAGUUUUUGUCUUUUGUCUACAAGAUUUUUCCACAGAUUAGAUAGUUCCACAGAUUAAGCCAGUACCAUAACGAAAAAUAGAGUACCCCAUCAACCAACGGACAAACUAGCAUGCAUGGAUCAUGUACUAGAAAACUUAAGAAUCAUCAUGGGAUUUCAUCAACAAGGUUUUGUUCACAUUCGAUGGAUCAUUCAUUACACAUAAGCAUCUAGCAUUCUUCCCACAUAAUCAAUCAGAAUUUAGUAAAUCCAUGAAAAUCAAUGAGACCAGCAUCCAUUCUUACACUAUGAUUUAUUUCUAAGUCCUAGUCAUUACUACAACCAAAGCCUUGCUUUGUACACACAUCGAGACAGGAACAUGCACUUGAUCGAGACCUACCACACAAACAAAACGACCAAAACUGACAAAUGUACAGCACCAUAACACAAUUAAUUGCGAUGCCUACUCAGGGUCAGCUGAGAGAACAGCAAAACAGAGGGAGAAACUUACGGAAAACAGAAAGGAGGAGCUAGUGCAGACAAAGCUUGACAACGAUGUGUGCAUGUACAUAAUGAAUACUUGCUCUUGUGUUUAAAUCAAUAAUGCAAGAAAGUCAAAUUAAUGUAUUCCCUCCGUCCCAUAUUAAGUGCAGAAAUAUUACAUGUAUCUACACGCUUUUUAGAUAUAGAUACAUUCUUAUUUGGACAAAUUUGAGUCACUUAAUAUGGGACGGAGGGAGUACUUCUUUAUUUUGCACAUGAUAUUUUAGGCCUCGUAAAAAAAUGACCAAUAUCAUCAAACAUUCAACAAAUAUACAUUCAUCUUCAUAUAAAAACACAUAACAAAUGCACUAACCAAUGAAAUCACUGCAAAGUUAGUAUACAAGCUCAGGAUGUAGUGUCUACCUAUGGGGUUGGGGUCUGGAUCAGUCCAGUACGUGUAUGGUGGUCUUUCCUUCUUGCCAACCUCCAGCUCCUUCCAAAUAUCCAAAUAAAUGAAUAACUCUUCCAAUGUAAGGCCAUAUAAGGGGAAAAUGGCAUUGAUUAGCUUCUCUACUUCCAGAAGGGUGUAAGCAUAGUUCACAACUGAUUGAUGGUCAUAGGAUGGACCAAAAGGGUGCUCAAAUGGAUCACGGCAAAGAGCCACAAGAAUCCUGCCGAGAGCACGUUUUGUUUCAUGUUCUUUGAGCGGUCCUCCAGUUUCAGAGCAAGGCCAACUGACUGGGCUAGCAGAUGCCAAUCCUCCUCGCAUGCCUUGGGCCUUACGUGCCCAGUAGUCAAUCAUGGGGUGCAGACCUUUCCGCUCGCAAAACUCCAUUGGGAAGAGUUCUCCUAACUUCUCCAAGACAGCUAGUCCGGAAGCUCUUCUAAGGUUACCACCAUCAUGAUAAACUCCCUACGGAGCACAUGAUUGGCUCUACAAUUGCGUUGUAUCCUUUCUGAAGGAGUUCUUGUUACAGAGUGAUUGGUUAUCCAUUUCUUGUCAACCCAUUCCUCUUGAGAGAUCAAACGAAGAUAGUCAUCCAAACAUGCCGGAAAAACGACGUCACUUGGGUCAAUACCUGUGGAUAACUUCACUGCACGGCCAAACAUAGCAUGCAGCGCAAGAAAUGGAGAUGUGGGACGUUCCUGGUCAUUUAUAUCAGUCUCCUUGAACAUCACUGCAUUGUGUUCAGGUGACCAAAGCAUGUUGUCAAUCCUGAAUAAGGAGCUUACAUUGAGUCCCCUCAUUAAGUUGACGGCUGCAAGGUCAGCACCGUGUCUUAGUAGAGAAAAUCCCAAAGGUCCCAGCUCAAUUAGACUUCUCCUUGAAAAUGGACUCUCAUUCAAUAGAUCAACAAUUCUGAUGAGGCCUGUUACGCUAGUGAACUGAAGGAUACCUCCACGAGUUAGGCAGUCUUCAAAAUGCUUCAGUUUCCUGUUAUCAAGUUCAUAGUCUGCAUUGCCUCUACAAUACAAAAACAAACUUGUCAAACAAACCUAUUGUGAAAAUAUUAACACAUUUGGCAAGACAAAAAGAAAAUGUGAUUUUACUAACAUCACUUGACGAAUUACUGGAGGUCUUUGUCCAAAAGUGCUAAAACCUCGACCCCUAUUGGUUCUGAAAACAGAGGAAUUUGAAGGUGCCAUCAAUUUCAUUUUGGAAUUGCUUAGAACAGUAUGGUACCCAUUCCCGACAAGAUGACCUGACUGUGCGCCACCACAAAUGAGAGCCUGGCUCUUGAUGAAUGAAGCAGUGAUACUACACUAAUUUAAGUAGAUGUGCUUUGUAAAAAAAGUAUCAAUACUUGGGAUUGUCUUACAUACCUAAGAACUAAUAAAGUGACAAAAUCAUAGAUUAUACUAGAUGCAUCCGUAAAACGAAAUCAGGGUCAAUGUACCCCCAGCACACAUGAUCUUAAUACAUGGUGUAUUCAUUUCAACAAGGUUUUGACCAUGCACUAGAUUGUUAAUUGGUGGUUUAUAUGACAUCAAAUUGGUACUAGUAAAGUUUUCAAAAACAUAAACUAUGUAAUGCUAAAACAGGGUCCACUUAGCCAUACAUGACAAGUGCCAUUUUGCAAAUGGCAGUGGCACAACUGAUGUCCUGUCAGAUUAAUGUAAAACCAUGGUGCAUGAUGACCAUGGUACCAUUCAUUGUCUCAUUUCAACACACAAGAUUCUAAUCUUAUUGGCAGGUAGAAUCAAUCACUCAGACCACUAGCUGCAACCUCGGGAAUGCCUCAACCCCAGGAAUCAAGCAACAAAUCAGCUACUACACCAUACUACAGCGGUUUCAGUCGGAAACUCCAUGGUGGGAACAGUGCGGUCAGCCCAGAUCGAACGGAAAAAGGCAGUGGAAACGCCCCGGUGGAACAAUGCGAUCAGCCCAGGUCGAGCGGAAAAGUCAGGGAUGCGAACCUACGUUAGGGUUUAGAGGUUCCAGUCAGGGAACAGUGCGAUCAGCCCAGAUCGAGCGGAUUAGGCAGGGGAUGCGAACCUAGGUAGGGUUUGGCGCUUCCAGUCAGGAAGGCCGCGGCGGGAACAGUACGAUCAAGCCAGAUCGAGCGAUGCGAACCUAGCGUAGGGUUUAGGGCUACGGCGACUGAGCUGGAGGGAACGAAGGCCGACGGCAAUGGAAAACAUGGUCGACGGAGUAGUCGCCGCUGUCAUCACGGAGAGGCGGAGCGCCGACGGAGUAAUCGCCGCUGUCAUCGCGGAGAGGCGGAGCGCCAACGGAGUAGUUGCCGUUGUCAUCGCGGAGAGGCGGAGCGCCGACGAGAGGACUCCGCGAGACAAGACCGUGUGUUAGGAUUUAGGAAGCUCUAGAGAAUACUGCGAUGGAAAUGGUGGGGGAUUUCCAAGAUGGCUUUACCUUGCCAUUUCGCGGCCUAGUACCAGUUUUUUUUUCUUUAGAACUUCGGCCAAUUAUUAGUUUUUUUUUAUUUAGAAAGGCCUAGUAUUAGUAGGCACCGUCCAUUUAGUGGCGUUGGGCAUGGGCCAUCACGAAGCGUCACCAGGACCAUGUGCCCGAUAGAUGGCCAUCGGGCCAGGCUUUGUGCUUGGCCCAGCACAUAUUUAAUCGGGCUGGCCCGAGGCUCCCCUUUGACACACCUGGGCCUCAACCCCAGGCCCAUCAGGGGAAAAUAAUUUUAAGAGACCAGACCCUCUGCAUGUUAAAAAAUCUAGCCGGCACCUCCCACAAAAAUCUAGCCUGCACCUCCCAUACUGCCGAAAAAAGUGGCAGGCCGGAUGCGAAAUGGGAGGGACGGCUGGAGUUGCUCUAAGCCCAGCCACUAAAUGUUUGGGGUGCUCUUAAGUGCUCUGAUCAGAUGCAGACUUACAAGCAUACCAUCCUUCCUGUCGAAAGAAGAGGCUAAAAAGGUUCUCAGGUGAUUUGCUAUGCUGUUUUGUACAAAAAGAAUGUCGAAGCCCGAAUGUAAAUAGUUGAAGAAUAGAUGACUGAGCUGGGCGUGUGUGCUUUAUCGUUUUGCAUCCUUUUUUUUUGGUUAAUUGAACUUCAUACAUUUACCUUGAGAGAUUAGCAGUAAUACAAAUCCUUGAUCUCCUCUUGUAAUUGACUUGAUUUCCUCUAGACAGACCCAUGUCAAGAAACAAUGAAGCGGGGGAAGCAUCAUUAGCUAAAUAAAGAAAGAAGAAGCUAGAUGAGAAGCUAAAAAGGCUGAAUGAAUUGGUUCUCUCAGAGAUCUUGGUUGCCGGGUUCUCCUCUGGCGUUAUUUACAUUUCUACAGUGGGGGAUGCAGCGAUAAAAAAGGAAGCAAGGGCAGGACACACGACUCGGCAUAGGGUCUGUCUAUUGAGUAGACGCCUGGUUUUGAUUCAGAAACCAGUCGCCUGGUUUUUGAUAAAAAAUCAGGCGCCUACUUUGUGUGUUAGUUUCAGUCGCCUGUUUUCUGCAUUUUUUCAGUCGUCUGGUUUUUUGGCCAAAACCAGUCAAAUAUCAAAAAGGCCAGCCGGUUGGGCAAACAAGCAAAAUCUGCUAGUUUAGGCGCCAAAAGAAAACACAGAUGCAAACUACUAGCUUUGAUUUUGGCCAAAAACUGUUCUAUUCUGGCCAGAGAUAUUCAGAUUAUAAUCCUUCUGCCCGAAGACGGAAGAGCUAAAGCAGCAAAUACAGUGCUAAAAAAAUCAGAGCAAAUGCAUAGAUGCUCACUGCAAUUACAAUACUAAAAAAAAUCCGAAGACAUAAGAGCUAAAGAAGCAUCCAUAAACACACAUGAUUAGCAAAACAGACCAUUCAAUGUUAUGCUACAUGACCAAAAGCUAAGAUGCUCAGUGAAUCUGGAAUCCUAGGUUACAGGACCAAAAGCUUUAGAUGCUCAGUGCAUUUAGAAUCCUAGGUUACAGGACCAAAAGCUAAGAUGAUAGGUGCAUUUAGACUAGUAAGUUUUACUACAGCAAAUAGCCAUGACCAUGACAACUGGAUAUCCACAUGAACAAAUGGCUACUACUUGCAAAGGUCAUUCAGAACCUCUUGAUGCAGACUGCUAAACGAGAUAUCACUUGAUUUUGUAGUGCAAACCUGUUUAAAAAUUAUGUGUUCUUUUGUGCACGGAGAUGUCCAGAGAGAUUCAGACUCGAAGCUUCCUUCCACUACAGUAUUUAUGACUGCAAAAAAAUUACACAUAGGGCAAAGAAACUGAAAUUGACUGCAAAUUACAGUAAUAAAGUUCCCAAAUUUAGAUAGGAGCUAGAGGAGCUGCAAACCGGUUCUCUUCAAUGCAGAUACAUUCAGAAUCCAAAAAUCCUUCCAAGGCAACAUUCAUCACUCGAAAAAUGAAAAUACAUGCAAAAGAUUAGAUCCAAAGUGCAUUUACAGUAGUUAGUUCCCAAAAUAUAGAUAGGAGCUAAAGCAACUGCAAACCUGAUCUCUUCUAUGCAGAACCAAAAUUAUCAAAAACAAAGGCAAGCAAUAAACAACAUUCAUCAGUUCAAAAUGUACACAUAGGCAAAUCUUAGAUGCUGGCUGCAUUUACAGUAGUGAGUUCCCAAGACAGAAAAGAUAGAGCAGCAUCCAUUUACACACAUGAUAGAAACCAACUUGCAAAACACAACAUUCGUUACAGGACCAAAAGAUUGCAUGCUCAUUGCAUUUACAGUGCUAAGUUCUACUACAGCAAAUAAGCAUGACCUAUAACCAUUGGGUAUCCAUAUGAACGAAGAGACACAAACUCCAACUGACAAAAUAUCAUUCAGAUCCCCCCGCCCCCACCCCUUUUUAAAAAUCUGCAUAAAAAAACAAUCAAAAUUUUCAAACCUGUUAUAAAUUCUGUUAUAAACCUGUUAUAGCUCUUGUCUCAACACACACAAAAUGUUCAAAUCAUCUGGGCAUAAAAAAGAGCUCAAAAAUUCAUAAAAUGCAAACAUUUAAAAAAGAAGCACUUGCUUCAAUCACUCGAGCUAUUCUGUAGCAACUAUUGUAAUGUAUUAUUCAAGAAAUCUCAAUAGAAUAAUAGGACGUAGAGAAGUACACAGAAAGCAAACCAUGCCCACGUACUGCCACCAAAAAUUCAUACACCAAAUACAGAUUCAAAAAAUUGAGCAUCACCCAAGCAAAAAGAGCGAACCUGUUUUAUUUAUGCAGCCACCGACAUGGGGGACUUCAUUUUCCUUCAGGGAAAUCCCACACCAAUCCACACAGCAUACAUAUGUUCAACUUAUCUUGGCAGAAAAAGGGAACCAAAAUUCAUAACAAUGAAUAUUUAAAAGACAUGAGAACUGUAAUUAUAAACAGGGGACAAAACUGCACCCGGCCAAUCAGCAUGCUGUCGGCUAUAAUAUCUUAGAAAAGUACAGAGCAAAAAGAAAUAGACCUUGCAAAUAAUACAAAGCUGCUUGCACCUAGAUGAAAAGCAAAAUUUUAAAGAGGAAGUAAAGCAAAAUGUUGCUUGAACCUAGAUGAAAGAAUACAGAUAAUACAAAGCUGCAUAUUGACGAAGACAUGUACAAAAUGUUAAAAUUAGAUGCUGCAAAAUUAGUAACAGAGGAGAUAAUGCGAUUAUUGAAGAUGAAGAGUGCAAUUGCACUUAGAAAUGCGAUUAUUCAACAAUUAGCUGAGAACGAACUGCACACGCACUAUAUAUAUGUUACAAAAUGUCUGUUUUAGUGCAAACUUGCACUAAAACAGCGACAGUAUUUAGGAACGGAGGGAGUACUUGAUAAAAUACAUAAGUUAACCAUAGAUGGUAAGUUAUCCUAUAGGUAAUAAGUUCAACAAGCAUAACCGAAGAGGAGGUCAGAGAAGAGAAAGUUUACAACCCCUUGCAAAAGGUAUUGAGCUCAGUUUCCAAAUGUGCCUAGUUUCUAUUAUGGGACAGACAUUUUGUAGUGGGCUCUGCAUAUUCUCUCUGCUCUCAUCUUACUUAAGACUAUAUGACUACCAGAUUUGGAUAUGGAAGACAAGACACAAAUACCAAAAUAUGCAAUCCUAGAACUGAGACCUGGUAGAAUCCAACAAUUGCAAUUUCCAACUUUCUAAAUGGACUGCAAUUCCAGCACUUCAGAAAUGCAAUUGCAAAAGUUCACAUAGAGAAUAUGAUAAAAACCCACCCUAGAAUCAGAAAAUAACCAUGAAAUUAAAAUGGAUCAUAUAUCUAGAUUAGAUUCAAUCAAAAUGCACAUAAGCAAACAAAAAUGUAUUGAGUACGGUACAAAUUACACUUGAUCCCUAGUCCCUAGUCCUUGUAGUCAACUACCGUCCCUAGAAUUAGUUUCAGAAUCAACCCUACAGCAGCAGGAGCUUGGGUAUGACUAACUUAAUGCUACAAAUAGCGGCCCAUCAAAUAUGAAAUCAAGCGCUCAAAUCAGCCAAAAAAUCCAACACACCACAAGGGAAAUGUAAACCUAAAAGCAGCAGAGCUAACCCACUAAAACAACAUAACGAACAGAUGUUUCUCUGGGGGUUUCGUCGGGCACAGAGGGGACGAAGAUGAGAACUCACCAUUCGAUGCGAACAGAAUGCGCCGCCAAAGACACAAGUUACUGAGAACUCACGUCGCUUGCUGCCAUCAACUCGCGAAAAUCCCCCCGAAUAAGAGGAAGCAAAAAUUAGCCGCAAGUAACUGAAACAGAACACCAAUUUGACAGGAGACAGAGAAGCAAAGCCAAGAGCAACUCACUGGAGCGUCGGCGACGCAGAUCGAAACCCCGUACCUCUGAUGUCUUUGCCUUGAAACAACGGAGAGAACAACGAACAAAUCAGAACAAAAAAUGGGUGAGGAAUCGCUAAUCGAAACAACGGAAACGCCGGCGAACUCACCAGCCGUAGGAAGAGAAGAAGCCUUCACCAUCGCCAGCGAGCAGAGAUGCAAAUCGCUUUCGUCCCUGUACCUCACCCCCUCCUUGGAACUCUUUGACGCAAACACCUCACGAAAGCAAAAGGCGACAAAAUAAGGGGCUCACAUUAAAUAGAGAGCGGUCUCGAUAGAAAAGAAAAAAGACAGCAUGGCAAAACAGUGGACAAAAAUCACUAAAGACAAAUAGCAGUAAAAAUCAAAGGCAUUUGUAGAAAUAAAUAGUUAGCAAGUCACUUAAGGUAUAAUAAUUUGUCUAUCAGUAUAUGUUUUCUAAUAUAGUACAAGAUAUAGUACUCAACAUCAAUGACAAAAUUAAAGGGAACUACAAACGAACACACAAUGACACUUUUAUGAACUGCAAUUUGCUUAAGCUAAAGGUGCAAAAUCAUUAAACUCACCGCAAUUGCACUUGUAUGGACUGCAAUUUACUUACGUUGCAGGUGCAAAAACAAUAUAAAGUAGAUGCAACUGCAAUUAAAGUCGCUGUGAUUGCACUUGUAUGGACUGCAAUUUGCUUAACGUACAGGUGAAAAAUAAAUAUGGAUGCAAUCCCAAUUAAAUUCGUUGCAAUUGCACUUGUAAAAACCGCACUUUGCUAAAACUACAGGUGCAAAAACCAUAUACCCAGAUGCAAUUGCAAAUAAUUGUAUACAAGUAUAACUGCCACAGAAUAUGGGUUUGCAUACAAAAUCGAACAUGCAAGACCUAACUGAAAUUCUGAUAUUUGAAUUAUAAAGGCAUGGCAAAAAAUGGGUUGCAAAAUAUUCAUGCUACAUUGCCCCUGCUUGAGAGGAGCAGCACAUAAAGGAACAACAAAAAAAAUGCCAGAUAUUCAAAUAGGAAAAACGCAAGGUGAGAUACUUAUGAUUGUGUAUGAAAAUAGAGUGACCGAGAGAGAUGACACUUAUACUAGCUAGCACCAUAGAACCUGGAAUUUGGAAGAAAUUUUUCUAGUUCUAAAAUUACUUUCAGUGGGCAUAUCCAUGGGGAUGGGGUGACCUAUCCAUGAACCAUAAUCACACAACACAUCACCAUAAAUACACAAGGUAACCUAAGCGUUUGACGGCUUAUUGUUCUGAACCUAGUCUGAAUCGCUACUAAAAGCUAGCCGGAGAUUCAGAACAGAUCAAAAAAAGGGUUCAACCCUACAUCACAAAACGACAACACAACCCACGCACAAGGGUAGUACAACCGUACCCCAGCAAAGUCAAGCAUCUCGCUAGCCCAAAUCUUCUCCGAAAAUAAUUAGCAUGUGCUCCCAAAACCAAAAUCCUCCACAACCUCCCUGCAAGAAAAUGAAACAGAAUCACUAUUGUCGAGAAGUGGAAUUACAGGUGAUGCCAUUGAGCAUACCACUAUUGAUGAGAUCCCUGUAGUUGAAAAGAACCAGAAGUGGCAUUACAGAGGUGUUGAUUUUAGCAAAGUAAAAGAUCCAUGUAGUUACUUUCGGCAGCCUAAAUAUCUAAAGCUAAAUUUCACUUACUACAAGCUAGAACUACAGCGAAAAUAUGGAGAUUGCACUUAGUAUGUACUAGAAUUGCAGCUUUGAAACACGUGCAAAUAUAUUUGCGAGGGGCUGCAAAAAACAUAUACUUGGAGCAGUCACAAAAACGGUGGGAAAAUUACAAUUGAGAUAGAUUGCAUAAGUUAGAAUACGAAAAUUGAAACAUAGUUUGAAAUUAUACAGAAGGCUGAAUUGCAUCAGUGCAAUUAUCGGUGCAUUUGGAACAUAUAUAGAGUGCAAUGUGAAUGAAAAAAAGUAGAGGAGGCAAUGCAAUUGCAACUUCGCAACAUUAUGAUUGCAGUGAUAGCAUAGUGCAAAACAUGCACGAGAGAAUGCAAUUCAAAAAAUAGACAAAGAAUUCUAUUAAGAAUGACAAAGAAGACUAGAAUUUCAACAAAGUUAAAGGUUGCAGAAACAAGCACUCCGUUUAGGACAUAUUUCAUAAUGGCUAAUGAAUAUCAAGCAAUUAAAAUGCAGAACCAUGGUAGGAGCUUCAUGCAUGGUUGAGUGCAAGCAAAAUGACAAGAUAAACAUAUUUCUUUUGCAUGAGUCGCCCUAAGCAACUGACGAAUAGGCAAUAUUUGAAUCAGAAAACAUGAUGUUGCCUCAAGUGUGUUUAACAUUGCAAAUAAGCAGUAAUAAAUCAAAUACAACUUGCAAGCAUGCCUUAUUUCAAAUGGAGGUAGAGAAAAGAACUGUAGUCCGGAGAAUCUUGCUGCUCUAAAGGAGUGGCAGCAUCACCAUUUGCUUUACUUCUCGACAUGCUGCUUCCACCCAUCUCCUUGAACUGUAGUCCAAACAAUCUAAUUAUCAUCCUUUCGCACAAACAACUAACUGAAGGAAGAACAGAAUGUGUCAUUUAUGCAAAUUCUGACCUGCACGGUCGCAGCUGUCACAGUGUCCAGAAUGGUGAUGGUUGUAUAGCUGUUUGACUUCAGCCUUAUCAUUCUUGCUUCAAGAUCAACUGAACUCUUGUUUGGCCCUGAAAUUUGGAUUAAAAUGUUGCUAUAUUAGUUCUAAAAUAAAUUACUUUCAGCUGGCAUAGCCAAAAAAUAUUCAGGAACAGAAACAACAAACAAAUCAUAAAGCCACAAUGCUCGAACUGAACUACCCAUUAGUCUGAAUCGCUACUACAGCUAGCCGGAGUUUCAGAUUCAGAAAAGGUAACCCUACAUCACAAACGGCGGUGCAACCAGCAGCACAAACCCACCGAAUCAAACACCCCGCCAGCCAAAAAAUCUCCCUCAAAAAUAGACACUAUCAUGUGCGCGCAAAUCCGCCACAAAACCUCAGGAAGUAAACUGUGGGAACAGCCAUUUCGCCCGGACAGAGGCUACCUUGACAGGCCGUGAGCAGACGUCGCCACCGACGAGCACGAAAUCAAACCUGCCCUUGCCUCUACUACCUUUGCAUCUUCAUAUCCACCCGAAUAAAAUGGGAGAACUCCACCACCAAAAAUGGAACGGAACGACCAAACUCACCGGAUGACCCCUCUAGUUGGCAUCACCGCCGACAAGCACAAAACGAAACCCCCUCGAACAGGCGCUAGCCUAUGCUGUCUUCGCCUCGCCACACAGAGAGACGGAGCCAACGAGAGAACGCAAGCAAAAAAAAAAAUCAGAGACCAAACACAAGCGCGAGCAAACGAGCCUUCACCUCUACACAUCGCGGCCACGGUGAUGUACGAGCCCAGCGUCGGCCCGCACGGCAGCACUUGGUCCUCUCCUCCUCGUCCGACGAAGCCGAUAUGGUCCCUGCGAGAGUCUACGGGUCAGAGCAGACGCACGCCCGGGCGCGGCGACCUUGCGGGGCGGGAAGAACUUGAGAGGCGACGGAGGACCGCGCCAGCACGCCCCGCACCCCGCGCGGUCGCCGUCGAGGUGGAGCAGACACGCCGACGCCGAACCCGCGUGGGACGCGCAGAGGAGGGAGGACAGGGACACCAUAAAAAUGAAGAGGAAACUCAAAUCCCCAUCCCUUUCCCCCGCGGGAAGGCAGCUCGCGGCGGGGAGGCAGCCUCCGACGAGCAGAACGGCCUCCUCCCCUUCCCCCGCAUCCUCAUCCCGUCGCUCCGAGCUCAGUCGGCAGAAGGAAGAAGAAGUCUCAGAGGCAGAAAAAAGAAACAGCGGUCAGAGCCACCAAAAAGAAAAAAGACACAAAGAAAAUGCACGAAUCAUCAAGCAUGAUCGGACGGCCACGACGGUCGCCUGCUUUUCAACAAAAAAGCAGGCGCCUGUGCUAUAGCAAAUCGGUUUGUUUUUUUGUUUUUUGAGGGGAACCCGGCAACCCCUAGUAGUCCUACCUACGCGCACGCCCCCUUGAAAGAGCCUCCAUUUAUCUUGUUCACCUCCGUCUGGCAAUCAGAAGCGAAGAAACAGAAAAGUGGGCCGGGAUCUGCUGUGUGAAUGGUUGAUGGGCCGUGGGACCGUGGCCCAAGUAGGUGGGAUCUCCUUAUAAGAGCGACGAGCCGCCGCCCCAAUCGCUGAACAACCUUUCUUCCACCCCACCCGCCGAUCUUUCUCCCAAUCUCAAACAGAGACGUAGCGUUGAAGGCUUGUUGAUCAUCAAAUUCAGGUAUUAUUCAUCUAAAGUCUCCAUCUGGUCGAUUUGUUUAUUUUCUGUCCUUUUUAUCAGAGAGGCUGAGAUGGUCCAAAGUUUUUGCAGAAACGAAUAUGAACCGGCGGUUUGUGAAUCUGGUGAUGAAGAACUACGCCGAUUGCUUUUAUUCUUUGCGCCGCAUCGAUCCUUACAACAUUUUCUUCUACGGGUCAGCAAAAGCAGCACUUGAAGCCGCAGAUGAAGCUGUCAAGAAGAAGGAAUAUUUUCCAGCGAUGCAGACCCUGCAGCUGCCGAGCCCAUGCAUGAACUUCGCUGCAGCCACCCCCGGCGGCAACCUGACUAUGUUCGCGCUCUUGAGCCACCGCGGCACCAGCGAAGGCAGAAUAGUCUACGGAAAAUCAGAUGGCGAGGCCGAGCUGUAUGACGCCGACAAGAAUAUCCACAACUCGCUGGGCCGCCUCAACGACCCCAAGGGGAUAGACCCUGUGUGCCUGCCCGUCGUGCACCCCGACGACCCGGACCAAAGCAUCAUGUACGUCUUGGACAGGUACCCCGAAGAGAGGGAGGUCGGGAGGGCCGUUAAUCGGUGCUUCGAGGUCCUCGAGUCCGUGCCCAAAGAGGCUGCUGCACUGGUUCGCAACAACACGACCUGGUAGCGUUGGCGGCGUCUUCCACCGCCUCCAUUCGUUCUCGAAGAUGGGUACGUAUCCUCCACCAUUUCCUCCUACGCCACCAAGGUCGACGGCAAUGGCUAUUCCACCAUCUACAUAUCAGCCAGUUCCGGCAUCGGCACCUACAGCUUCGAGACGGCACGCCGUGACUGCAGUCAACGUCUAGGAUGGAGGCGCACGGAGGAAUGGAGUCGUGUUGGGCCAUGGCAGCUGCCAUUUGUUGGCAGUGCUCAGUACGUUCCUGAUUUCAAUCGAUGGUUUGGUUUCACCCUCCAAGCCCCACCACCUGUGUGCUGUGGACCUCUCCACGAUGGACCAUGAACGACCACCCAUUGUACAGCAAGUUUGGCCAGAUGUGAUCCCACCUCAGGGAAAGGAGUGGCUUGUAGUAUAUAUCAAGCUUCUCGACCUGGGCAAUGGCAAGUUUCUCAUCGCCAAGACUUUUGAGGAAGGACCAUACAGUCGGGAGUUUACUGUGCUCACCGGCAUAGAGAUGAUGAAGGCUGGUGGUCAGAGCCUUCAGAUGGUCAAGCACAAGUGCGCCCGUUUUGACUUUGACCACGAAAGCAUCGACUGGGUGCUCUGAAUGAAUAACAGCAUUGAGUUGGUGCUCUGAAUGAACAAUAAUCUUGCAUCCGCAUUUGUAAUGCGGUCACCGAUUACGUUGCUAGUAGGUGAUCCAUUUGCAUAAUUAAGGGUAUGUGUGUUCAGUUCAGGCGGGGCAUGAGAUGGUUUGCGAAGAAAACAAUGUAUCAUGUUCAAUUAUAUAAUGUAUGGUUGGCUGGUUAUUUUCUCUGGUUGGCCGAUAUUAUGUUCAUAGCAUAUUCGUUGGGCUUACCUGUCAAAGGGUUUGCGGGUUGCAAACAGAAGUCCAAACUUAUUUGUUUCUGGGUUUGUUGCUCGAUACUUAAGUUGUAUUAAUAGACACAUGGUUUUCUUUAAUGAAACCGGAGGGAGUGCCCUUUGUUUGUCAAAAAAAAAGGGUUCGCAUGGGCUAAGUGUGAUAUUUACAUGGUCCAUGGAGGCCGUUUUGAUAUAUUUGUCCAUGGUCUUUAACUGGGCUCUGGACACCAUAUUUGGGUCUGUGUUAUUUUCAGGGAUAUGUGUGCUUGUUCCUGCGUUAUUUUGGGUGUGGUUAUUUUUCGACCAUCUGACUUUAAAUAAAAGCUCUUAGAUCGCAGUUGACAUAUUGAAUCCGUUGUAUUAAGAUCUGAGAGUCAUCCCCAACGUUCCAUCUCUCGUAUGCUAUCGUUGAUUAAUGUCCGACGGUCAAGUGGGUCGGCUGAUCUCUAACUAAAAAAUUGUAUACUUUGGAUAAUGCUUACUCAAGUGUCAAGAUGCACGGUUACUCAAGAAAUAACGUGAAUAAUUCAAGAAGGCUCCUAGGGUCCCUGCACCGACCGAAGACAGCAGCCGCCGCGCAACCUUUAGGGCUGCAGUUACUGUUUCUACUCUCAGUACAAAAUCUCUCUCACUCGUCAGAACUUAAAUUCUCGAUUAUCCGUAUAAGUUUCUAGUAACAGUCCAGUAAAAAUAAAUUCACAGCGGAAGAUAGCGAAAAAGACACCUAAGCAGUUGUUAGCAAUUCCAAUAUAGAAGUACAGUACUAUACAUUUGGCCAUCUCUAUCUCUCGUUGACUGAGAAGUGAGAAGUAGUUGCAGUAAACUACAUACCAUCAGCCUACUGUCGUCGCAACUGACACUGACAGGACCAUGUAUAGCAUUGCUGCAGUUCGACCUACCAAACGUGAUAACCUACUGUAUGAAAGUCUUCUGUCUAAGGAAUUAAAGUAAGAAUUACGAGCAUUCAGUUCCUCCUACCCAGCGCAGGACAGCUGGGUCAGAGGAUCCAAAUCUGCACCGAUCGCUGUUAGUUCUGAACAUGUAACACAAGUACACCGGAACAAGUACUACAACCAACCAAUCACACGGUUUCUCUCCGAAUAAUUACAAGUUACUCCUCCGUUCCAUAAUUUUUGUCUCAGAUCUGAUAAAAAAUAAAUGUACAAGUUACAAGUUACAACCAUGGACCACAUCGCAGAAUGCAAGGCAGAGUACUCCGGUUCAGAACCAGUUAAACCUUGGACGAAAGAUUGGUUUAGAAGAUGUGGAGGAUGUCGUGGAUGAAGGCGUUGCAGAGCGGGCAGGUGGCGCGGGCGAGCCGGAGGUCGCGGGAGCAGAGGCGGCAGAAGGUGUGGCCGCAGGGGACGAACGCCGCGCCCUUGUGCCGCACCAUGCACACGCAGCAGCACGCCCCCACCAUCUCCUCUUCCUCCUCCUCGUCUUCUUCGUCUCCGGCGUCGGCGCGGGCGUCUUCGUCAUCAUCGUCUCUGGCGCCGGCGCCUUCUUCUUCUUCUUGGUCGUCGUCUUCCCACUGGCUGUCCGCCUGGUCCAGCAGCGCCAUGAGCGACACCGCGGCCGCCGCCUCGCCGUCCUUGUCUCCUGAUUCCUCCUGGUCGUUGCGGGGCCGGCUGCCGAUGUUGGUGGCCGCGGCGGGCGGCGGCAUGGUCGUCGUCCAUGAGGCGCUCCGGCGCCGGAGCGACCUCCAGCUGAUCAUCAUGCCACGGCUGAUGGCGUCCGAGAACGACGGCCCUGCAGCUGGCUGAUCACCGCCAUCGUCGUCGUCGUCGUCGUGUGGGAGCUUGAGGAUGUCGCGGACGAUGGCCUGGUCCGGCGUGGACAGCUGCUCCGAGAGCGUCAUCGCCCGCCGCCGAUCCAUACUGCUUGGUGCUAGUGCUGGUGAGCAGUGAGCUGAAGGUGAUAGGGGGCGGUGGUUGAGGAGGAGCUAGAGCGUAGAGGUGGCGUGCGCGCGAGUGGGGAACUGGGAAUCAAGUGCAACUGGGAAGGAACGACAGGAGGUUGGACUUGGGGUGUCUCGCGGGCUUUUUAAACUCUGCUUUGCCGUUACCGCUUGGGGUUCACCGUGAUUCCUGGCCUGCGGUACCUAUUACGGAGUGGAGUAGAACUCUACUCUGACCAGAUCGUCAAAGGUACAGUACCUUGAACAGUACGCACGGCACGUACGUAACGAAUGCGUGCAAGCGACGGCGAUGGGGCUUCGUCUCUUUUUUUAAGCUGUCGCGCACGCGCGUGAGAGUUCGUGUCAUACGGAGAUCCACCUCUCGCUCGGUUUUAACAAAUUUAAGUCGCUUGAUAUAGGACAGAUGAAACAGUACUACUCACUCGUGGAACCCAACCUCUCGUCUCGUGUUUCGCCUGGCCCGUAGCAAUGUGUCGGGGUCAGGCCGCGACAGACUCGAUCGAAGCCAUUGAUUUGAUUGUAUGUACACCCCGUACCGUACCGUGUACCGAAACGUAGCCGCGUAUUCGGUGCCAUGAAGAAGGCUAAUUAAUCGCUCAGCUAACUCACUGUAUAUACAUAACCACUACGGUGCGUAUGCUUGUUGGCAUUUUCUGGCAUCGUCUACGUACUUAACUACGCGCGCGCACACACACAGAGACAGAGGUCAGAGACAGUAUAUAUAUAACCUUAAAAAAAGAUGUCAGAGAGACUGAAGAGAGAGUACAUGAGCAGGAAAUAAAAAUAAAAAUCGGGUGAGAUGGCACCGUCACUCAAACAAAUGAAUACUACCACCAGCUGCAUUAUAUUCUCCUUUAAUUAGUCCUGUCCAUUUCUCACGUACGUAGCUACUAAUCCUGAAGCUAAUUGCCGUGGGGUCAGGAGGAGCAGCAUCUGGCGCAGUCGGGAACGUACGACACGAACGCGACGUGCAUGCCUUGCCUGUCCCCCGCUCUCCCCGUGAUUAAGGCGCGCAAUAAUCGGGCACCUCAAGAAGAACAAGACACAAUUCCCGGAUCGGGCAACGCCUUCCUCCCCUCCCAAGCUGCCAGAGCGGACGGCCAGCCUGUGUAAAUGGCGCCUUUUGUUUUGCUAGCUUUGCUACAGACUACAGCCCUUCACCUACGCUCGCGUUCGUGUUCGUGUACGUGACGGCGUUCGUGGGGUCUGAUAAUUUGUUUGUGUUAUUACUACGUGUAUACCGGCCCGGCUGAGCUGGGGUUUUGAACGCCACGAUAAGUUUACCCUCGUGCAACGGAAGCGAGAGUUCUAGCGUCAGGCGAGGCAAUUUUUAUUGCCGAGUAAAGUGUUUUUCCGGCCAGAUACGAUUCAUUCGCUCACAGGAAGUCAGGAACCAAAGGGACUUGAGAUUUUUUUUUAUUUUUUUUUGAGGGCUGGAGAUUUUUUUUCUGAGCGAGAUAUCGGAGGAAGAAGCAGAGCCGAGUCCUUUUCUCGUUUUCGAUUAGCCCGUUUGCUUUUUUUUUUAGCAAAAUUAGCCCGUUUGCUUCGCCUGCCAAACGGCGUCGGCCCAAUGGGCCGCAGAAUCUAUCUGUCACGGUCGGACCCCAGUUGAGUGGUCACGCCCGACGGCCCGGGACAAAAAAACACAUCCAUCCAUAUCGAUCCAGCAGCAGUGUUUCGUCCUACGCUUGCUCCUGCCGUCUCGCGCCUCGCGGGAUCGAGUGGUCCUGCACCCCGGCGUACGUCGUGUCCCCAGCGGCAGGGAGUUAAAUCGCUUUUGGAGCCUGCCUUCAAAACACCCCUAGUACAGAAUUUCCGCGAGAUCCGUGUGUUUCGCAAUCCAAACAGGGCCACUUGCUAUACAAGGAUCUACCGGACGGAGUAAAUGGCCAGGCAACAGGGAUCGAUCGAUCGGCAGCGCGCGGUUAAAGGCCCUUUGUGCGGGAACAGUCUCUUUUGCAUGCAUGGAUCACGAGCCAAGGACAUCUUAAUUCUUCUUCUUCUGAACUUCUCCCACUGUGUGCAGGAUUCACAAGAUCCGGGGGGAAACCCUGGAUGGUUUUGCCCUCUGUGCACAUGAUGCUCAAGGAUUGGUUCGUCAGCUGCGCGCGGCGUGUUUCUGAACGAAUUUUGCAGCCCCUGGAUUCAGAGUUUCGGAUAUGUGGACUAAACAGAGGCAGGCUAAAGCAACAGGGAGCCAAGCAGCCAUGGAUGGAGCUGGGUUGUCACAAAAUAUAAUCUCACCAAACUAAUAUGUCCAUACAUAUACUAACAAGAUGUCAUCAACUUUCCCCCUAGUCAACCAAAAAGAAAGGGAAAAAAAAGCACUCCUGCUGCCUACUACACAGAAACACACUACCACCCCUAGCAACAAUCCAGCAGAGGUUAAAUCUUCCAGCAAGGACUAACUAACAACCCGAGUGCGCACAACAAGCAUCUGUUUUCGCCACGAAAAUCAACCCAUACACCCCUGGGUGGUAUGCCAGGAGGGUCACACGGCGAGGCGAGAGGAGGAACUAGCCCAUUGUCCUUGUGAUCGUUAUGGUACCCUUUCUCCCUUCAGUGUGGAUCUUCGUCUUGUGAACCACAGGCUUCCCGGAGAUGGCCGAGGCCUGGUACGAGGCUGGCCCCUCGUCGCUCUUGUGGCGUAUCUUGUGCGGAGGCGGGGCGUGAAUUUUCUGGUUUAUCUCCCUCAGAGUGAUGCCGCCGUGGAAACCGCAUGGCUUGAUGAGCUCGAAUGGGUAAGCCACAGAUGUUUUUACCUUUCUUGCUCUGAUGAUGUUUUUUCCAGCUGUGGAUAAGAGAGCAAAUACAUGAGCAGAAAACACAAAGACUGCAAAGAGAACGAUGCAUGAAAAAUAGUCGAGUCAAUUGUGCUUCGGCCAAACUACCAGUAGAAUCGGACAAACCUUUCAGAGGUGUAGAUCGACCUUGCAGAGGUUUCUUCUCAAUUCCGUUAGACUGCUCCUGUGCUAAAGAAUCCCUAAGAGCUGAAAAUUAAACAGAAAACAAGUGUCGGUAGCAUCAGUAGCUUCAUAAUGACGAUAAAGACCAAUAAUUUGUAUCCUGGGAACACUAUAGUACUAUACUAACCAGAGAUGUUGGCUUUUACCAGAGCAGUAGUACUAGUAGGACUAUUCCUGUUUAAAAGGAUCACAAACCAUGAGAAAAACAUCAGUUUAAUGAAAUACUGCGCAAGGUGGAUAUCAAACAAACUUACGCUUCUUCUUCUGGCAGGCAACGAGGGUCACUAUCUUGAGAGAAAUCAACUAGCCAUUGUUCUGGUAGUUCGUCUGUCCCUUCACAGUUUAACAAAACCUCAUCACCUGGAAUCACCUCUAGAAUUAGGAUAAAUGGAGAUGAAUCAACUCGGUCAAACAACUAGCAGAGAUGAUGGAAGACCUACUAGAGAAAUCCAAAUUCACUUGCAGAUUUUCCGAGAGACCAUCUGCCAAAGGGCACUCCAUCUACACAUAACGGAACAUCAUAUAUACAUAUUGAUGGAACUAAAACACUGUGGUAGUGCAUUUAACCAUUAUUCAGACACAGUUUACAAGCAAAAAGUACUAAUGCAUACAACCUUCAUUUUUUAGACGGGUGACUUAAAAAUCCAUCUAGAGCAUGUACCUGAACACUUUCUGGACAGAACUGUAGCAUGCGUCUUCUUUUAGCUUGUAAGGUUUCUUUUCCUUCAUCAAAAUCCUUGGUAAUAACAUCUGCAUUGCAUCUACAUGAGGUCACUAAACUGGAAGCGUCUUUUGGGUAUGCACCAAAAAGGUGAGAUAUGAUAUAAUGGAUCUUAAUUGUUUCAGCAAGAGGCGUCAGAUAUUACAAGUGAAACUCAUAGUUCUGACCUUAGGUGCAUCCUGCACAAUUCAAAUCAAACCUAUAUGCGUGCACGAAGCCAGAUUAUUACUAGGCAAGACAUGGGUUUCACUCAGCAUUAUCAACCAUCAUGUUUGUAUAAUAAAAUGCAACCAGAGAUGCUUGUACAGAUAAGUUACUAAAACUAUCACGAAGCAGAAAGUUAUAAAUCAACUACAGUACUACACGGCACAGGUACAAACAGAGAACAUAUCAAGAAAGGAGGAAAUGAUUGUAUGCGGACCGUUCAAUUCAGAAUAUGGAUAUUACAGACAGACACUAGAUGCUAGGCAUCCUCCUCUGUUAGUGGGUGGUGAAAGGUAAUCAGCAUAUACACUGGAAAAAAAAUCCAUUACCUCCUAUAUCACAGAACUGAAAAUCUAUGUCUGUACACUGUCUUAUUGGAGUUUGCUCAUCGAACAUGCUCCAAUCAUCAUCCACACCAGAGUUUGCUUCAGCCCACAAGGAGCUAGAUGGAGCUGCGAAAGGAGAAGUAAAAAAAGCUCAGCAUUUUAGUAUUUGCAGUUUUAGAACAGGACUGAUGAAAAAGGAUGUUGCAUACCAGGCAACAGAUCUUUCUGAAGAUCAAACUCCUGACUCUGCCAUCCCCACAUCUCACUGCACGAAAGUUCCACAAUUUAGAGCAAAGUUAGGGAUGAUUAUUCAUGCAAAAAAGUCUUGUUGCUAACUUCACAAAAAUGAGUGAGAGUGAAAAUGCAGAGCAUAUAUCUUCCCACAUGCUUAUAUCAUACAACAAGAGCUGCAACCUGAACAGUAAAAUUGCAUUUCCGCCUGAACGAAAAUGAUGUAUCUAAGGUUUAAAAAAUUCAUAUUUGUUUAUAGAAAAAAGGUAAAAAAUUCAUCUUGGUAUUUCUAGUAACAUUUCAGUGUUUUUCAUCUUGUGCGGAAUACCAGAAUGUUCAAUAACCCCAGGCACCGUAGACAGGCAAAAGUUUGCAAAACAGUCUAAACAGCGCAAUGGCAACUAACAGCAAAAAAGAAACCUUCGAUGAUUAAGAAAGGUGAGGCAGCCUCACCAAACAAACAAAAUGGCCAAACACGGACUAGUCAAACAGCAGGAGAAAUCAGAGCACGCCACGAACAAAGGCAGCAACUAGGGUUUAACAGCGAAAGGUAACACCAACGCGGGCAACCUAACCCCUUAACCAACCGAGGCACACAGUACGCCACAAAAGGAGCAAAAGGAGAAACAAAAACCGCAAAGCUUCCGCCAAAAGAAGCCAUGACCUUUUACUCCCAGAAUUGGAAGUCCUUUCCAAUCCUCAUCCCAACACCGUACGGCGAGGCGACGCCAUAGUAAGGAUCACGAAGAAGAAGAAGAGGAAAGAACAGGAGAAGAAGAAUAAGAAGAAAAAAGGCGGUGGCAGUUGCUAGUACCGCACCAAAACCGAACCUAUCCGCCGUACUACGGAGGAAACGAAAUUGGGGGUGAAUCGACAAGGACGGACGGAACUAAAGCUGCGACGAUUAAAACAAAUCGCGAUCUCGCGCCAUCAGAAAACCCCCUCGCCGUACGACGGUUGAAGAUGAGAAAGAAACCCGAGUUGGGGGACGGGAGGGGGUUUCGCCCUCACCUCUGGUCGUCAAUGCCGCCGCCGAAAUCCAUCGCCCGCACAACACCCGCACGGCCGCGAAACGCAGAACGGGGGAACUGGAUGGAUCCAAGAUGCGCUCCGCUACUCCUCCAUGGGACGAAACAAAAGGCCGAGAAAGAAAGAAAGGAAAGGAAAGGAACCGGAGUCGGGGGAAGGCGAAGUGGGGAGCGGGUGGAAGGAAGAAGCGGGGGGAGGGGAAGUGGGGCGCACUGGCGUUUGGGGGCAGUUUAAUCUCACUUCUCACCCCCUCCACAGCACCGCUCUUCUCCUCCUUCUGCUGUCCCUUUCUCUCUCUCUCCAAACCAGACAAAGCUUGCGCUUUUAUUUACUGCUGCUGAUGCUGCGUCUUCUGCUUCGCUCGCUCCUGCUGCAGCGCAAGGGGGGGCGCGGAGCCCGAGGAAGACAGCACCGGAGGUUGAGUGAGAGUGACGACCGAGGAUUAUCCUAUGACUAAUUGGGCAAGCUUGGGUGACCGCGACCCAUCAUUAGUUAACUAAUCGGGCAGCAGUGAGUGAGCGAGGGAUUAGGGAAGGGGAAGAAGACCAACCAACCCACCUGGUGCAAAGACAAAACGAACCCCAAGCUCGUCCAAAGAGGCUUCUACGAGAAGGAAGCAAAGUAACAGUACAUGGAUCGGAAUUCUUUGGGCGGCAGUAGAAUUCGUGCGAAUUAAUGUAAAACCCGGAUUUGCAUGUUUUCUUACGUGGCUGGAUAGUAGUAAUCCGAUAAGAUAAUGCGACGCGUGAACUGAUUAAUGGUUUCAUUCUAAAAUAAAUAAAUAAUUGAUUAACCUUAAUGGUUUCCUUUUUUCUGCGUGAUUGCAGUGUCGUCGUCUUCAUCUGCUGGGGACGUGAUUCAAGGAGCAGAGGAAAUAAACAUGAGCAGCAAUGAAUGCAUUAUUAACCGGGGGGGGGGGGGGGGGGGGGGACGGGAUCAAGGUCAUGGGAGGAGUAGAUCGAGCGAGUCCAAAAUGAAUACGGGGGUGUUGCUUCAUGUGACUCGUGGCAUUGAUUUUGAUUGGAUCGAAUUGAAAACUCCCAAGCGAAAAUCUCGUACUUUAUCUUUCUAGACUGACAUGUGGCCCGCUUGUCAACUGAAAAUCUGGUCCCACUGACGUGUGGGGGCGAGGCAAGAGGGCCCGCUUGUCAUGCGAAAUCUCGUACUUUCUCUAUCCACCCUGGACUCCUGGAGGCACAUGGGGGCAUUAUGGUCAGAAAUGAAAAGAAAAUGGGGGAAUGUCAGCCUCCUGAUUGGUCGGACGAACGAUGGAGAAUUGGAGAUAUGUUUUUCUAUACGACUCAGACGAGACGGGGGUUAAAAUAGUGGAUUUUUAAAGAUUAGCACGAGAUGGGGGUGCCAUAUUUACGUGGCGCCUGAUUCGUCGUCGUCUCUGGGUCGUGAUGAAAAAUAAAUGGAGAAGUCAACAAAAUGGGAGUGAGAUUUGGAUCUUGAUCUACCCGCUAAGUACAGAUCUGCUUCGGUGCGACGCGGUUAAAGUUUUUUUGGACUGGCGUGUUCGUCGCACCGUCCUGCGGUAGCACACUCGAGAUUGACAGAUCAGCCCGUGUUAAGACUAGUCCGUAUAUAAAAUGCACUAGAAAAGGCUAAAUUACAUGUGAAGAAAAAGCAGCAUAAUCACUUCGUACUUAUAAAAUUUAACUACAGGGAGGGCUGUUAAACUUACUACUCCGAUUCUAAAUUAUUGUCGAAAUAUUACAUGUAUGUAAAUUUUUUUAAAAAUAGAUACAUUUAGACAAAUGUACCAGCCGGGAGACGCAGCAACUCAGAUAACGAGAAUUUGGCGUUGUCCAAACGAACCACUCUGCCAACUGAGACCAAAGGGAUUCUGACGACUACAGAUUUACGGCAAAACAGGGAUCUAAAACAGACAUGACGACAAGGUGGAAAUAUUCCAAUAGCUUGUUCUGUCUAACGACAACUGACCUGCUAUUAUCAUAGGAAAUCUCAACAGUAAAACACACUAAUAUCGAUGCAGCGGCAAUCCAAAACUAAUCUCCUCCAUCUCCGUGUGCACAACGUACACGGGACAGAACGGACGGUCAGCAAAGCAAAAAACCAAACAAAGCAGAUCAGGCUUCGAGGAACUAAAACAACCUUCAGAACAGUGCGAGUACCAAGAGGAUAGAUGCAUAGAUUAUAUUAGGGGAUGGAUAAACAAGUCACCACACAGGCCAAAGUACCCAAAUCAUACUAAACAAAGAUCCCCUAAUGACCUUCAGCUAUGGCACAGAACCAAAGCUUCACAAGUUCUUUUCAGACUUCUUGCAUGUACUCUCAACGAUAGAUUAAAAGGCUUUUCUAGGCAGCAAACAAUUAAGCUGCAACAGCUUCUAAGCAUUCGGAGGCAGCAGGAAGCCUCCAGUCUGGUGAAGCAUGGCGUCGAUCUCAUCGCCAUCUUCCAUCUCGAGCUGAAACAGUUCCCACACAAGAAAGGUCAGUGACUUGUAAUAUGAGUUUGCCUUUGAUGAAUUAACAGAAGAAAAACCAGACGCACCUCGUCAGGAGUCUGCUCUGCACGGAGCCUGCGACCAUCAAACAGGAAGGCAAUGGCAGUCAUGUCCACAGACUGGCGGUCGCAGUAGGCAUUCAUCAGCUUCUUCAGCUGGGUAGACCUCUUAAUGCGGAAGAACACCUCAUUGCCGUCCUACAACAAACGAGUGCAGAUAGAUAAGACUAGGCACUGAGAACUAGAAUUCCAAAAACAAGUAUUCAGAUAGAUAAAUAUCCCAGUUCAAUGCCAAGUAUCAUCAAUGGCUCAACGAUUUCAUCUAUUAACAUAAUUGAUGAGCAAAUACAUGAAGUGCCCAAAUGGACAGAAAAAUCUAGUCCUCGAAUAUAACUGACUACUAUUUUUUUCUACUACGAUGUGCUUCUACAGCACGACAGCAGAAGAAGGCAUUCUGAACUAUGCUACUCCCUCUGAUCCUAAAUUCUUGACUAAAAUUUGCCUAAAUAUGGAUGUAUCUAUUCUUAAAAAGCGUCUAGAUACAUGUAAUAUUUCGACAACAAUUUAGGAACGGAGGGAGUACUACGAGGUACAAACAUGCAUACAUUCUAGCAGUCCAGCCCCUAACAAAUUUCCUGUCUACAAACAGACAACAGCUCGUGUGUAUACUGUCAGUAGAACAUGAUUUUUUUUCAUGAAACUAUUGCCUUGCUAAUUGUAUUGAAAAUGGAUUCCUUCCUGGCAGAUACAGUACUUCACAAGUUCACAGUUGGCACAAAACAAACAGUGACCAGUGCCCUAUCAAAUUCUUUCUUUAUUACUGAAAGAUAACAGUGUGCAUUGUGAAAGUUGUUUAAGUGACAACUUUGCCUCCUUUAGCGGGUUCAAUCAUAUAAGGGAAUUGAUGAUGGAAUUAUAUUUCACUCAGAAAUGCUCCACAACAUGGAACAACGUGUAGUUCUACAAAAAAAGACUGACAGUACAGCAAUUGGUUCUACCAUAUAAGCACCAAACAGACAUAAACGAAGACUAGUUCCAACAAAUUCUGGCAAAGUACAAAGUAGGAUUCAGAGAAGUACACAUGAACCUCAUAUUUACCAACCAAAUUUCAAUAUGCUGACAAUAUUAAUUGAAGAACUGGGACUUCGAAGGUCAGACUACACCACAUCAACUACAAGCAGUAUAUGCAGAUUAUGACCAGAAUCCAAGACUGCAAGUUUGCUUGCAGUUGCAGCACUGUCGAACAGACCCAAUCACAGCACAAUAGGCACAUCAUACGGCCAAGUAAUCCCAAAGAAUAAGAGUACCGGCCAUAUGGUUGGAUUACAGUGUUUCAACUCGCCACUGUUCCCAUUGUCUAGUACUGCUCUGCCAGAUAUUCAGCAUCCAGUGACUAACCUAGGGUAUAUUGAUCAAUCGAGGGAGGGCAUCUUAAGAAUACCUAUUCCCCACGGUUCAAUCUAAAAUCUGGCGGGCGUACAUCUAUCUAAGACCUACAGAUCACGCAGCACAGAGGCGAAACCACGGACGCAAACUACCGAACCGCAAAGGAAACCUAGCACAGAGGAACAGACGACAUGACACCGACGGGGCAUGGGGAUCCGGCUAAAAUCGACGCGAUUCAACCUACACACGGCGACGAUCACGGCUAGCGCAAUCUGAGGAGGGUAGCGGGGGGGAUAAGAAGGAGCGGGCGCUGACCUGACCCUUGACCUUGAGGUUGAUGUGGGCGCCGCCGCCCUCGCCUCCCGCCGGCUUCUUGUCCUCCUCGCCUCCCGCAGCCGACAUCUCCGACGGUCCGCCUCGCCGAGCUCGCCUGGUGUCAGAUUGAUCUGCCGCCGCGAAGCAGGAUGUGAGCCCUGGUGUUUGUGGAUGUCUCGCCGGAGGAGGCGGACCCGGCGGAACUUAUAGGACGGCUGCUCAGAACUGGAUUUGAUAACGGGGCCUGGAGUCCGCGGCGCGAUCCCCUCUGCUGCGGGCCAAGUGGUUCCGCGCGUCCUAUUGGCGGGCCCUGCUGCGGGCUGUUCGGGUUCCGGAUUCCCGACUCCUCGUGGGCCGUGCGUGGUUUUCACGCGGAAACGGACGGCCGACCUCCUGGGCCCCACCCGACCCCGCCUGCCUUUUCGCUACUUCCGUUCGCACGUUUCCGCUUUCCGCCUUUUCCUUUCUCCCGUUCUCAAAAUAAAAAAAAUGCCUUUUCCUCUCUCCUUGCUCGUUGUAGAAAAGCAAAGGAUAUAUGCUUCCCGCUCCAAAUUUGACACGUUCCUCCGAAAUUUGAUGAUGGAUUUCGCGACAGAUUCAAAAGCCUCCUAUCAAAAGGGCGUCCGUUGAAGAUUUUAUAGAGCCUGGAGAUAUGCAAAUGGAUUAUCUUUAGGAUGCCCUCUAAUUCUAUUUGGUUUAAUGCAAUGAAUGAGGAUUUCAAAGUCACGUAACUUUUUAAGAAACUAACUCAGUUAUUUUUAAAUAAAAAUUGUUAGAGAUACCCUAAUGGACAAUUUGCAUCUAGUAACAAGGAAAGAAAAGUUCAUCGCAAAAUUGGGCCUGACAAUCUGACCUCAAAGUUUCCCCGCUCCGCAUUGCUCUUAAUUCCUCCGAUAAAAACACAUCGGUAACACGCCAUUCUAGUUAUCUUGGGUGUUUCUCUUUUCAUUUCUCACCACCUAACCAUGUCCAUCUUCCAGGCUCGGAUGCUAAUGUCUGGUCCUAUUUUGAAGUCACUACUAUAGAACAUUGCGUUACUAACGUCUCAUCUUUGAUGGGCCUAGAGGUCCCGGCUUGGAGCAAUUCUUUUAAAAAGAUUCCUUGAUGCGCCGAGAUAAUAAAGGCAACAACGAAAAAACAAAUAGAAAAAACCUUCUUAAUUUUCAAAGGCUUUAGAAGUGGAGCCCUUAUGAAGAGCCACAUAUUCAGUUUUCCUUCCAUUGCAAUAAACCCACAGGCUCAGAUGCAUCGUGGCUACUUUGUGCACGCACACAAGGACGACAUUGUCCAUCACUUCAACUCCUCCGGAACUGGAAAAGGAAAUGGAGACCGAUCAAAUUGUUGUCCUGGACGGACAAGAUCGAUUAUCGAAAAGACCAACACCACAUCAGACUAGCAACAUAUCAGAGAUGAUGGCUGAUUUCAUGAACGAUGUCGUGGUGGUGUCACGGCAGAUGUCAUAGGAUGACUUAUGUUAGGGCCAAUGGACGAAGGAGGAUCCGGAGGAGGGAGGACGUGAUGAGAACCACGCACAAACACUAGAACACGCACACGGUUUACCCAGGUUCGGAGCCCUCUUGUUGAGGUAAAACUCAUACUCCUACUUGGUUGUAUUUGCCGAGAUACCAAGAUCUACAAUGGUGCUCCUUGAGCAGUUUUCUUGAGGAAGAAGAAGAAGAAGGGAAAAACCCUAGAUGACUAAGUGAAGCCCCUUUCCUAGGAGGGGUAGUGCCCCUAUUUAUGGACCGCCCAUGUCACACUGACAUGUGGACCAAAGGUUAACGUUAUCUUCUACAGGCCCCGCCGAGCACGUCCUUCGGUUCCCUCGGGAGCGCACGGCAGGGGACAAAGCAGCUUUACUUUUCCUGGCACCCGGCAACACGUACAGUGACCACCCGCCGGCUUCCGUCACUGAUUCUCUUUCGGUGCUUCUUUGCGCAGUCGCCUGACACCGAGACGUAAGCAACGGCUACUUUCCUGUGAUAAAGAGGACGCUGCUUUACAUUGCGCCAUGUGAUAAGGAUAAGACCGUUGGCACAUCUCGGCGCCGGCCGAGAUCGGAGUACUUGUGCUUAUCCUGCAAUCACAUAAGACAAGAUAGAGGUGCCGGCAUGUACGUGGUAUGUCGGCCUGGUAUUAGUUUGGCUUAAGGAUGCCGGCGCACAUGCUUGUGCCGGCUUUGCCUUCGUCAUCUCGGCUAAUAUGUGCCAUCUCGACCCUAUCCGGGGUCAUCCCCCCAACACUAGUCCCCAAAGCUGUUGCGGUCCGACAGGAAAUUAUGUCAGGCCACGACAGUUUCCCACAACUCAAGCCACCAACACCUAGUAGGGUUUAGCCCAGGAAAUUGCCGAGACAACCCCUAGUUUUCUUAGCCGAGAUCAAUUGUCACGUGCUUGGGGAAUUUGGAAAUUAAAGGAAGAUCGCAGGAAGUAAGGGUGCUCUACGGGAGGACGAGGCUUGUAACCUCGUCGCCCCGUGGCAGGGAAUUGGAGAGCCCAAGGCGCAGGGGAAGAUAGGGUUUUUUUUUUGGUACAACUAGAUUGAUUUAUUCUUGCUUGCCUCAUAACGAUUACAGGGGGCCCUUUAUACAGGGAAGACUCGACUUGACAUCCAAGAAACUAAUCUCUACUUUCCUAACAAACCAUAUAUCAAUAUUCCUAUCUUAUCUCGUGCCUAACUAAUUUAGGAGAUGCUAAUGGGAUAUUGUCCCUUAUUUGGAUACCUAGGGCUGUGCCCCUAUAGGGAUGUACGCCCAUGACAUUACACCCCCCUUUUUGAGCAGCUCGUCCUCGAGCUGCGGUGGUGGCCACGGCUGAAGUCCGAGGAGGCCCCAAGCUGAUGGCCGGCCAUGGCUGUCAUGGUUGUGCAGCAACUUUGACUUUGGAUGAUGAAGCACCCAUGUCCCUGCCACCUUUGGAAGAAGUGGCCUCUCCCUUGCGCCCGCGCCUGAGGGCAGGAGCCACCAUAUUGUUGCAGCACGUCUCACCAACUUUUCCUACGCCCGCCCCGAGAGGCGCUUCUUCCCUGUUGCUGGACAGCCAAGGCGCUUGUUGCUGCUCCUCGCAAGCUUGGCAGAUUGCAUUACCACCAGGGCUGGCUUUAGUUGUGUCACCCAUAGGUGCGGUGAUGAUGAAACCAGCAGCGCCGGUGAAGGCAAUGGUGAUGGCGAUGAGAUCAGCGGUGCCGCAGCUGUUGGGGAUAUGGUUCUUGGCGUGGCUGCUUUCUGUUGAUCCACCCACGCGCGGACCUUGGUGCAAAUUGCAUGCACCUUGUCGAGCGCAGCUCUAGCCUUUGCGAUCGGGGCUUGUAGUUCGUCGAACGCAGCUUUAAUUCUGUCGCAUGUAGCUUCAAACUUGGCGGAAGGAGAUAACUCUGUGGCAUCAGGCGUGAUGGAGAUCGACUGCUCUGAUACCAAAUUGUCAUGAACCAGGUUCACGACAUGGGGGAUAAUGGCUUUAGGGCCUGUACGAGGUGACCAUGGACCCAAGAGGCGCGACGGCGCCAUGAAAGGCAGCCGCACCUCAAGGGCAAGGAGGAGGUACAACUAGAUUGAUUUAUUCUUGCUUGCCUCAUAACGAUUACAGGGGGCCCUUUAUAUAGGGAAGACUCGACUUGACAUCCAAGAAACUAAUCUCUACUUUCCUAACAAACCAUACCUCUACUUUCCUAACAGACCAUAUCUCAAUAUUCCUAUCUUAUCUCGUGCCUAACUAAUUUAGGAGAUGCUAAUGGUAUAUUGUCCCUUAUUUGGAUACCUAGAGCUCUGCCCCUAUAGGGAUGUACGCCCAUGACAUCAGGCCACUUCGACAUAUCUUAUCGGCAUACUUACUCAACCCUGAGCCGAGAUUCUUUUCUUCCUUGUUGCUGGCAGUAAAAAACUUGUUUCUGCCGACAUUAGCGCCACCUGUCUCCUGUACUCUGCGCUCUGCUUAAAUAACGGGAAGAUAGGACCGGGAAUACAGUCGGCGUGCCUUUUGAGGCGAGCGUACCGUCCCAUCGGACCGUACAUCCGGCAGCCAUUAAUUGGGGAAUAUCGGUUCCCACGCGGAUCCUUAUCCCCCCGGAUUCGACGGGAUUAACUGCGCCACGAGCGCAGUAACCGAGCGCACGCACCGUUAAUGGGGUUGAUUGCCCCCAUGAUCGUGCGUGGUCUUUCCGUUGGCCACGGAGAUCGUGGGCGCGGAAGAUAUGUGCCCCAUUAGUGCGUUGCGGGUAUAAAUAAGGGGAGGGGGCGAGGGUGAAAACUCUUCGCUUUCCCCCAACGCCCUCACUCUUCUCUGCUCUCCUCUGCUCUGUGAGCUCCGAGCUUCCCUGCUACCGCACUUCCUAGCUCCCAGCAACCAAGCUCGCCGCCGCAUCCUCGCACGCGCUCGAUUAGCUCUCCGCCGCCGCUUUCUUGCCCGCACGCGCCUUGCGCCACCGUCUCCUCUCCGGAAACCCUAAACCUAGAUCUAUUCUCCAAGCAAUGGCUUCUUCGUCUCGCGAUGCCGCUGCCGUCGACCCCGCUGCUCAGCACACCGAGGAGGAGACGGGCUCGGAGCGAGCCGGCUGGGAAGGGUCCGACGUUUCGUCGGCGGACAUCGAGUGGCUCCGCCGCACCCGUCGGAUCCCGGAGGAGGUGGAGUGCCGGAUCCCCGGCGACGAGGUCGUGCCGACGCCCGAACUCGGUGAGCAUGUCGUCUUUCUUGCUCACGUUGAACCAGGAUUCGCUCUGCCGGCUAGCGAUUUCACUAGGAAGUUCCUAGAUUUCUUUGGCCUUCUACCGCACCACCUUCCGGCAAAUGCCAUCCUUACUCUUUCGGCAUUUGUCACUUGUUGUGAAGCUUAUCUCAGCCUCUGGCCUUCCAUUGACUUGUGGGCCAUGUACCUCAUGUUCCGGCCCCAAGUCCUUCCCGACAAAGACAAUCCCGACGGCGCUAAGCCCAUGACUCAGUGCGGCGCCGCCACCGUCAUACCCCGCCGAGGUUCAGCCUUCUCUCGGAUCCAAGGUCUUGAGUCCUGCAAGAAAUGGCUCAAGACUUUCUUCUACGUCAAGAACUCCUCCGACACCGAAAAGAUCAAUUUGCCUGGAUUUGCAGUUGGCCCUCCGGAGGAGAAGAAAAACUGGAAGUACGAUCCCAAGGAUAGUCUUCCCGAGAUCAACGAGAUUCAUGCCGGCAUCCUCGAGCUCAAUGCGAACGGGAUGACGGCCGAUGAUCUGCUGGCGACCUUCGUGUACCGGCGGUUAUGCCUGCUCCAGCGCCGGACACAUAAGAUGUGUUUCUAUAGCGGCUAGUUUGACCAUAACCGGGUAUCAACUGUCCGGCUAGACAAGCUUGAAGUCCGGCGCCGAGUUAAGGCGACCGCGAAGAGGAGCUUGUCCGAGCACUGGUCCUGGGGUAUGCCGACAUUCAGCCGGAAGCACCGUCCGCCCCCGGUAAGUUUUUGUUUGCAUGUGUCUUCUAUUCUUAUCCGACGUGAUGAUUAUGACAGCUUUCAUCUGAUAACGACUUAUCUCAACGCAACUUGAUUCCUUUGUGCAGAGGUUUACCCUUCAGCGCAAUGAAGAUGGGAAUUUCCCGGACAAACGCUUUGGGAAGGAGCGCUUGACCAUCGACUAGGAAGAUCCGGACUCAGAGGAUCACAUGCCGAUUGCUCAUGCCGGCCCCCGUCGCACCGAAGGUAAAGGCAUUCGACAUUUAGAAACACUUAUCAUCAAAAUGCUCACGCCCGCAUCAAUCUGGGAACAGUUGACUCGGAUGAUCCCGCCGAUGCCAUGGCAUCGGGUCCGGCGGCUGCUGCGGCGCCGGCCCGUGAAAAGUGCAUCGCUGAGAAGGACCUUCCGAGGACCGUGAAGUGGAAGAAAACCGCCGGGCGGCAACCAAAGCCGAAGCCCCUGGUCGUUGGGUAAGUUUUACUGCAUUUCUAUCCUUGAUGUCGGUUUUCUUCUUAACCAUCAAGAACGUAACAAAUUUUCAUUCCUGCAGGGAGGCUCUGACGGCCACUCAGUCUCAGACGUGCAUUGCGUCUGGGAUCCCGGCAGCCCCGUCUCCGCGGGCCAAGCCAGCAACUCAGGCCACGGGAGAGACCGAGACCGCUGCAGAUCCGACAUCUCCCAUCCGGGAUGUCGGCCCGAGCAUCGACACUUCGAGUGUCGCCCAAGCCGGGAUGUCUGCGGCCGAGACUUCGGCAGCCGGGGCUGCUCCUUCAUCGGUAGCAGCUAAGACGCAAACACAGCCGCAAGCCACGGAGGUUCCUCAACAGCUGGCGACACAGGCCCAAGGACCCCCAAGGACAGCAAACGACGUCCACACCGCCAUCGCUGCCACCGCAGCCGCAAGCUACCCAACUAGUGGCUACGCAAGCUAGGAGGACUAGGAGCUCCGUCAUCCCGACGGGACAAGCGCCUCCGAGUUCCUCCAGCUCGCAGUCCGUCCGGGGUAACCAGGGGGUUCCCCUUAGGACAAGCGGGCAUAGCUGGGAGUUGCUCGGCCAGUUCGUGAUGGACUGGAACAGCGCCGAUAGCUAUGAGGUGAACUCCUGCACUAUGCAGACGGCACGGCAGAGCCCUCUGGUAGGGCCGGCACCUGCGGGGGCGACUCCGGAGUCCGUGUCGGCCCGGAUGUUCCAGGCAAGGGUCGCCUUGUUUGAGUCCAGCCGCGCUGCUGAGGUACGAAGAAUUCCUUUGAAGUUUUUUACUCUAAUUCUAGUAUCCAUACUGCUAGUCCCUGAGGUUUAGGGUGAGUAAGAAUUAGUCUGCCUGAAGCUUAUCUUAGAAAACUUCAAACACUAAUUCCCCGAGAUUUAGGCCGGGUUUAGAAUAAUUGGCCUAAAGCUUAAAGACUUCAAACACUUUUUUCCCGAGAUUCGGGCCGGUUUAGAAUAGUUGGCCUAAAGCUUAAAAACUUCAAACACUUAUUCCCCGAGAUUCAGGCCGGAUUUAGAAUAGUCGGCCUAAAGCUGACAGGUGCUGACCUCCCACUGUAAUAGGAUUAACUGUGGAUUACCGUUUUUUCAGUCUUGCAUGAAUAAGCGCACCGCCACCUUCAAGAUCCUGCUGGCGAAGCAUAAGAAGCUGGCGGCGGAGCACAAGGCUUUGGUAGCUGAGCACUAGAAUAAGGGUAAAUACAUUUCCGCCGACAUAGAAAUUAUGUCUGAGAAUUAAUGUACUGUGAAAACUGAUACGUGAUUUUGUUCACAACCGGGGACGACGCUCAAGUGUCGGAGCUCUUGAAGCGCGUCGCAGAAGUGCAAGGUAUAAUCUCAUUCUUAUCUCGGCUCCCAUCCAUUUUAAACUUGAGCUCUUGUAACGCACGUCUUCCAAACAGAUGAGAAGGCCCGGCUGGUGGAACAGCACCGGGAUGAGGUGCCCGGCUGAGGUGUAACAUCCCAAAAUUUUCCCAUUUUGGAAUGUUAAAUAAAAUAUUUAUUUUAUUUUAAAUAUUGGUUAUGGAAAUAUUUUGGUUGUGAAAUUCCGAAGGAUUUUGAAUUUUUACGACUUAUUUAAAAUUUUUCACACCAUGUUUGAAUAUUCAACAAAUUAUACAACAUGGUUGAGAGAUUUAUGUAAGUUCAAAGUAUUGUAUUUGGACCCAUUUGCAUCUUAUCAGUUUAUAUGGAAUUUUUUUAUCUUAGUAAAUCCUAUUUUCUUUUUGAAGGAUUUAUUAACAUCCCAAGUUUCCAAAUUUGGAUGCAAUGACCAACUGAGAGCAUCGUUGGAAUUUGUGAAUCGAUUAUAAAUGCUUCCAACAUUUAUUUAAAUGUUAAAGAGAGGGAAUAAUUUGACUUUCCUGGUUAUAAGACUGGAAACAUAUUCAAUGUUCACCCAUGUUUUCUUGAUUUUUAUUUUGUCAUGUUCGUUUUGUUUUCGAGAACAAGUUAUCAAAUAUUCGAGAAGAGGAUAACGCGACAUUCUCAUGUGCAAAUGUUAUACCAACAUUUAUUCCAUCGUUGAGAGUGGGAUAACGUGACUUUCCAAAUAUAUAUAGUUGGAGCAUUUGCAAUGGUCUACGAAAUGUGUGAUUUGGUGUUAUAAAUCUAUUUGGGAAUCUAUUUAACCAUAUAAAUAUUAUAAGAUUUUAUUUGGAGUCCAACCCAAUCGAGUAUUUAGCUAAGGAAGGGUUUUAGUGGAAAGUAUGCCAACCCAAUAUUUUAUUGGAGUUUAAACUAGUUUAUGAAACAAAGGUUUCAUAAUAGAUUUCAAAAUCUAUUUUAUUUAUUAUUUAUAAAGCCCUAAUGGCAUUUAUAUAAGCAAAAGUAUUUUUACUUAUUUUAUUUUGAAAGGAUUCAAGUCCCAAAAGCUCACACUUUGGAGGAUUUGAAUUUACAUAACAGCAUUGACUUCCUCUCCCGCCUGCGCUGACUUUGCUUAUCAGUCGGCUCCGUGAUAAAGAUCAUGUAGCUCUGGUGGUGCUCCUUGUACUCAUUUCUUCUGGCAUAUUCGGGUACCUUGGUCUUCCACCUGGUUGACAGCAUUGUUCGUCGGAGGGGGUCCCUGGAUCUGGGCGUUAGCGCCUGUGAGCGGCGGGGGAGGGGGCAGCCGACUUGCCUCGCCCUUCUCAGCCCGUUGCAUCCAGCUGCAUUGCCGAGUUGUGUGAUUCGCCGGUUUGCUGGGGUUAGUCGUGUGAAAACGACAAGGCUGAUCCAGCAUCAUCUCGAACGUGUACUUCUACUUAUCUUGCCAGGGCUUCUUUUGCUCUCCCUUCUUGGCCCACUGCUGAUUCCCAGUCUUUCGACGCUGGCUAAAGCCGGCAUCAAGUUGAUCUUGAAUUGCAGCGACAUGGGCUGGCCCGUACCGGUAAUCCGGCCUGUCGUCCCUUCUCUUAUUGCGGUGAUCUUGAUGAUCAUUCCUCCGGAAUGCCCCAGCAGGAUUGUAUGUCGGCUGCUCUCUUUGCGGUUCUGCCGGCAUCAGUGAUGGCUGAGUCGGGUCACCGAGCGCAUACAUGUCGGCGAUCUUGAUCAUUUCGGACAGAGUGGCCGCCAUUUCUCUUUGCAGCUUCUGCCAUAACAUGUUGUCAUGUCGGCAUUCUUGAGCAAACCACGCUAUGGCCUGCGAUUUCACUAUCCCUUCACAGAAGUUGCGGAGGUUGUUCCAUCUCGUCAGAUAAUCCCGGUCAGUCUCGUUGUCCCUUUGCUUGCACAUGGACAGCUGCUGAGGGCGAUUAGGCCUCUUGUAACUGCUGGUGAAAUUGCUGACAAAAGCUUCUUCAAAGUCUAUCCAGCAAUUGAUGCUGCCUUUCGGCAAAUUGUUCAGCCAGACCCUGGCCGGCCCUACCAGCAUCUGGGGUACAUAGCGUACCGCCCAUCUGCGAUUGCCGCCUGCCACAUGCACCGCAGUGACUUAGUCUUCCAACCAAUCUUCCGGCUUAGUACGGCCAUCAUAUGUUCUCGUACCCCUGGGCAACUGAAAACCCUAGGCUGGUGUCUCCCUCAUGAUCCGGUGUGCGAAACAACGCGGUCCCGGAGGGCCUUGUUCUUCGAAAAGCUCCGACAGAUAGAUUCUGUUGAGCCGAUGCCGGGCAUCCAGCGGCGACACUUACCUGUUCCCUACCUGGGCUCCGAGCGGGCCGAUAUUAUCACGUUCUAGCCUGAGAUAACCUUCAUCACCGAUGGCCGAGUACCCGUCAUCGUAACGGUCUGGCCGGCGAUCUUCACCUCGAUACAGGGGGUGGCGCCCGACACACUGCUGUCUGCAGCAGUAUUGGGUGCCGGACCCCGAGGUUGGUGUCCAUGACCGGCCGAGCGACGCUCUUGCUGGUCUCGGCGAUUGUUGCCGAGACGCAGACCACUUUCGAUGUCAUCAACUCUCCUGACCAUUUCUUUCUCGGCCAAGGCCAGAUCAUAGCGCUCUAAUCGCUUAUCUCGGCCUGAGUUGACACUCUUGUCUCUCUUGCCACAAGGCGAGGAGGCUUGUUUGUCAACCCGACCAUCAGCGCCCGCGGCCGAGUGAAUGACUUGAGAUGCACCAGGCUUGCCGUGCACCCUCAUCUAUGCCUCAUUCUGCUCGUUAGCUGUGCGGAGCAACUCCUUUACGCGCAACUGCUACAAUCGGAGCGCCUCUCCCGUGAGAUUUGGCAACUCUUCUGCUGCAGCCUCGGCGGCCCUGAGAUUUUUAACAGGGGUGUUGUAUUUCGGCUUCAGUGCCAAGGCAAAACUUGCCGACACCGCGAUCAUCCCCCUUCCAUCUCUAGCUAUCUCGGCGUUCAGGUUCCUGCCACGGUUACGCACUUUCCAAACUCGACAAGGGUUAGUCAAUGCGGUAGAAUUGAGACCAUGUGCUUUGUUAUACUCACGAAGCGAAAUAUCAAGCUCUUGCUGAGCACGAGCCACGUCGACAGCUUCUUGCAGCAGUUUCUGGCGCACCAACUCCAACUCAGCCUGCAGCUGGGCCGGGUUAGCGUUUGACACCACCGACGCGGUCAGCCGUUUGAUGGCGGCCUAGAGCUGAGCCGGCUUUGGCGGCAGAGCUGACGUGCCGGCUUGAGCAACUAUGUUCUCCGGCUUCUCCAUGGGAAACUUUGCCGUUCUGCCGGAUUUGCUUGGGACCGUGCCACUCUCGGCAGCGCCCUUGCCAGCAUCACCGCCAUGAGCCGUCACCAUGACCUCCUCACGGUCAGCGGGGCAGUCGACAUGCCGGCCGCGAACCGUGCAGACGGUGGGGGGAUCUUCGGCCACCACCAUAUGCUCGGGGUACCUGCAAGUACUGUCAGUGGCGACAUAAACCUCAUGCAUGGCAAAGUUGAUGAAACGGCCUGCGCGGGGAAACGGUGCGUUGUUGAAGCAGCCGGCGUUGUUGUCGAUGAAGCCCAGAGAGCCGAAUCUCUGGACCAAACCGGAGACCACGCGCUCUCCGGUGAUGAGGAAGCUUCCCGUCCAGAUGAAAAUUCCAGCCAGCGCCGUUGCUGGCCCCACGGUGGACGCCAACUGUCAUGGUGGUGUCACGGCAGAUGCCAUAUGAUGGCUUAUGUUGAGGCCGAUGGACGAAGGAGGAUCCGGAGGAGGGAUGACGUGAUGAGAAACACGCACAAACACUAGAACACACACACGGUUUACCCAGGUUCGGAGCCCUCUUGUUGAGGUAAAACUCAUACUCCUGCUUGCUUGUAUUUGCCGAGAUACCAAGAUCGACAAUGGUGCUCCUUGAGCAGUUUUCUUGAGGAGGAAGAAGAAGAAGAAGAAGGGGAAAACCCUAGAUGACUAAGUGAAGCCCCUCUCCUGGGAGGGGUAGUGCCCCUAUUUAUGGACCGCCCACGUGACACUGACAUGUGGACCAAAGCUUAAUGUUAUCUUCUACGGGCCCCGCCGAGCACGUCCUUCGGUUCCCUCUGGAGCGCACGGCAGGGGACAAAGCAGCUUUACUUUUCCUGGCGCCCGGCAACACGUACAGUGACCACGCGCCGGCUUCCGUCACUGAUUCUCUUUCGGUGCUUCUUUGCGCAGUCGCCUGAUACCGAGACGUAAGCAACGACUGCUUUCCUGUGAUAAAGAGGACGCUGCUUUACAUUGCGCCAUGUGAUAAGGAUGAGACCGUUUGCACAUCUCGGCACCGGCCGAGAUCGGA